CCUGUAUGUGCCCAUUCACCGGAGAAAGACUAUAAUGCCACUUCUUGUCCGGCUCUGCUACCUUCUUCAUUGUAGACCAUGACUAGUGUGCGGAGCAUUCUGCUUGUGGCUAAAGGGAUUGUAACAAUAUACAAGAAGCUACCAGGUACUGCCUCCUUGAGUAAUAUUGCUUGCAAGUAAUAGCUCUAGUAAUGGUAAUAGUUCUAGUUUGAGGAGUGCAGAGGUUAUUGAGGAAGGAGAAUUGGCAGGUAAUGUUGGUGGAUAUUUGGGAGAUUGUAUAAGUAGCAGGGUGUAGUAAUGUAAAUGAGAGGUUUUAUGUGCCAAAGGAGUGCAAAUUACCAUGACCUUGGAUUAAAUAGGGUAAUUGUUUUGCGUAAGUUAGUAGAUGGGUGUACAUUACGGUGUAUGUGAAUGUAUUAUAGAGCUCCACAGUUAUACCCAGUAUGUAUGAGUGUAUUCUAGAACUUCCCAGUAAUACGCACUGUGUAUGAGUAUAUUAUAGAGUUCCACAGUUAUACCCAGUGUGUAUGAGUGUAUUAUAGAGCUCCAUGAAAAUAUGCAGUGAGUAUGAGUGUAUUAUAGAGCUGCUAAGUAAUAUGCACUGUGUAUGAGUGUAUUAUAGAGCUCCAUGACAAUAUGCAGUGAGUAUGAGUGUAUUAUAGAGCUGCCCAGUAAUAUGCAAUGUGUAUGAGUGUAUUAUAGAGCUCCAUGAAAAUAUGCAGUGAGUAUAAGUGUAUUAUAGAGCUGCUAAGUAAUACACACUAUGUAUGAGUGUAUUAUAGAGCUCCAUGACAAUAUGCAGUGAGUAUAAGUGUAUUAUAGAGCUGCUAAGUAAUACACACUAUGUAUGAGUGUAUUAUAGAGCUCCAUGACAAUAUGCAGUGAGUAUAAGUGUAUUAUAGAGCUGCUAAGUAAUACACACUAUGUAUGAGUGUAUUAUAGAGCUCCAUGACAAUAUGCAGUGAGUAUAAGUGUAUUAUAAAGCUUCUCAGUAAUAUGCACUGUGUAUGAGUGUAUUAUACAGCUCCAUGAAAAUACGUAUUGUGUAUGAGUGUAUUAAAGCGCCGUGGUAAUAUUUAAUGUGACGAGACCAAUCUCGUCCACAUUGCAUUGGAGAAGCCUGGCUGCUCGCCUGCUGCCUUUGGACUAUGGCCCCAUGUUAAAAGACUUUGUUUCGCCUGCAGAAAAGCUUUAUUCAUGCUUUUCUGCCGGUUGUUCGGUGAAUUCAAUCUACCGAACAACCGCACGAAUGAAUAGACCACCUGGGAGCUGGAGUGUGCCGGCAAUUAACCUCCCUGAAGCUGUGGUUAACCACAGCUUAAUUGACGAAUGCUGGGUGGCCGCCAUUCGUAUCCCGAACACGAGGUCGCGGCCAUUUUAACCAUGCGAAUGCACAGCGGUGUUCGACGCUUAAUUCAUGGAACUAAAAUCGGACACAGUUUUGCGCGAACACCGCUGAAGCCGCUGACCUCCCUUCUUGUUCGGUGGAAGUACACGAACGGCCGGUGUUCGGUAGUUUUACUUGUCUAUGUAAUACCCCAGAUAGGAAUCCCAUGGAGCCCAUUCGCAUGAAACUGACUGUGCAAAGACUUUAGCUCCAUGACGAUUAAACUGUAUUCGUGUGGUCUGAGCGCCAUUCGCUUAAUAAUGUGCGCUAAGACCUGAGCUAUCUGGGGACAUGUUAAAUGUAUAGUUUUAAUGUAAUGUGUCUCACAUAGUGUAUUUUAAUAGUAAUUCCUGUUUUAGUAUCCCCACGUGCAUAAUGGCGAUUUGCCUUUGUCUUGGGAGAUAAUUGAAUUACUUCUCAAUUAUCUCCAAGGCAGAGGGGAGGAAGCCAGGAUGCAUUGUGGGAAUAUAAUGUGACUGUGUGACCUAUUUGUCUAUUUGUCUGUCUUUUGUCACAGUCUCCCAUUUGGUCCCCUAGGGGAGUGUCCACCAGGUGGGAGACCUGCAUAAAUACUGGACAGAUAGCCCUCAUUAAACAGACCACUGCUUGACCCUCAACACGGAGCCUUGUCUCGUCUUUGGGGGGAUUUACUGAAUGCUGAUAGAGACUGAUUGCUAGGAGUGUAAGCCGCUUGGAUUCUUUUCCUAUUCGUCUGCUAGCAGCGAUUCGUAUGGUUCCUGUUCAUGUGUUUGGAGUGCUAUAUUGGAUGCCGUUCGGGAGUUUGGAGCAUUCACUUAUUGGCGGCUCGUGUGUUUGGUGUUCUACAAUAGCUGUGCCUGCAUCUCUGGAAAGGGGGAUGAUCGCCUAAACGGUUUUUACCCCUUGUGUGCAAAACGGUCCGUUAAAUGUAAUAUCUCCAUUCGUGUAUUUGGACUAUAUGGUUCGGGAACCGAACAGCCGCACGAACCAGAGACCACCCUGGAGCUUGUUUAGCCUAAUUAAUAUUUUCUAGCAAUGUCCACCGCAGUGUUCUAAGUGUUCAUCUGGGUGGCCACAUUUCAUAUCGACAACCACAAGGUGGCGGCCAUCUUGUUCGCAUAGGCAGCGGUGCUUGGUCAUCAAGUUCAUGGAACUACUUUCGGACACUGAAACUCCUGAACACCGCUGGACUUCCAUGAUCGCCUGUGUUCGGUUUUACAACACUUAGAAAGACACUGUUCGGUGAAAACAUUCCCACGAACAAAGGAAACAAACUCCAGGGUAAGAACAUUGACUAUGUUCAGUAGUUUGUUCGGUUUUUAAACUACCGAACUAGACCGACAGCAAGUCCUGAUUCUCUGGAACUGUUUUGGGCAUAGGACCAUGCAUGCGGUCGGUCAAAUUAUGACUUCCAGGAAAUUCCUGAACCCCUGAACCAAUCUGGGUGAUUUUUGGAUAUGUUGGUCACCCAGAUCGGGGCUAUCAGGGGAUGUAACUGUGGGGUUUUAUGAAUUUUUAAGGUACUUUUGGGGUAUUUGGGAAAUGUGUGUUUUUUGUGCCUGGAGAUAAUUAAGUUUAAUACAGUGCUUGACUCAAUUAUCUCCCAGGCACAGGGGAGGGAUUAUCUUGUUUUGUAUGGGAGUGCCCUGGACCUGUGUAUAUGUUUUUACUGUAGUCUACUCUCAGGGGGAGUGCCCCUUGCAUGGGGACCUGCAUAUAAGGCCAGUUGUGGCUGCCAAUAAACAUAGUCCAGCUUGUACUCCCAGAACUAUGUAUAGUCCUUACCUUUAAGUCAUCAGAAAUAAUCACCCCUAAAUCCCUUUCCUCAGAUGUUGAAGUUAUCUCUAUCAAAUAUUCUGUACUCUGCCCUUGGGUUUUUUCGUCCAAGAUGCAUUAUCUUGCACAAUAGUGUUCCUUGUAAUGUGCAAUGGCAGAGAAAGAUAUUAUUGUUUGUGUGCAAUAGUUUUCUGCUUUGCUGGUGUUUUGCUUCUUAUUGUUCAAAACAUCUUCUGUUAGAACCCUGAACACACUAUUAAGCCGCAACAUGUCUUGGACAUAGUAAUUAAGGUGACAGCCAACAAGCAAAAUAAUCUGCAUGUGUACAAUGUCCAUGCAGGAACACUAACAAUGCAGUCAAUCUUCUAAAUCUAAUUUGGUCUCAUUCUAGGUUCAUGUCAUGUUUAUGUUACAUUUUUGUUUUUAUAAAAUAAUUCAUCAUUACAAGAGUAGGAACGAAAAUAGAGAUAAAGGCAAUAAAAAUAAAUGUUGCCAUUUUUCGCAAGUCGGAUACCCAUGACGGCUGCUGAAUAUUUUAAAAUAAGCCAGUAAACUAUGUUUAUGAAACAUUUUAUUUUGUGAGCUGUGUGCAUCUGCUCACUUCAAGCUUUAUUAGCAUGAAUGCAUUAAAUUGGCAUUGGCAAGAUUUGUGCUAGUGAACAAUCAGAGUUGGCAACAUUAAAAGCUGCGGUCGGAGAAUCUAAGCCAAAUAAUUUAGUUAUAUUUAAAACAGGCUCCAUUCCUUCUGCAAUAUUUGUGAUGAUACACUGACUUUGCAGUUAAUCAUCCUUUGAUGUGAACCUGUCACCCAUAAAACGUGUGGCUGCCAAGUUCAUCUGAAGGUAGGUUUUUCAUGACAUCUGUACAUGCAUAUAAUCAAUAAUCAAUAUACUGAAUUGGUAAAAUCCACAAUAAAUGUAUAUUUUAAAAGAUGCAUUUUUUCCUCCUUCUUCCUACAAUAUGCCAUUGGAUUAAAUAGGACGCAACCACCCAAUCUUCAAAAAAUGCUUGAUACAUCCCAUACUACAUUUGUAUCACAAACUUUAUAUAACUAAUAUAUGUAUCUUAUAUUAUAAUAUAACUAAUAUAUGGCCGGGAAGGUGAUAUAAUAAUUUUGCAAUAACACUUAAAUUAUCCUUUUGAAAGCCAAUUGGCUAGCAUGAUGUGGAUAAACACUAUUCUUUAAGUGGCAUAAGGUUCAUUUUUUAAAUCAUAAGUGCUCUUUUAUUAUUCCCUACUAGAGGACUGCAAUAUUGUGUCCACUUCAAAAAUGAUAGAAACAUGUCUAAUUAUGUCUGCCCCUACAUCUAUGAAGCUCCAUAAAACUACAAAACAGCUUCACUGCGGUUUUCCACUGUCCAUUAUUACUGUAAAAGAGAAAUGUAUGACUUUCAAAAAAUAGAUUAUACUCAAUAUAAAUGUAUUACAUUCUUCAAAGGUUAAACAAAUGUAUACAUAUAUGUUAUAUAUUGGAAAGAUUCACAUACGAACCAGUGACCCCACAUAUCCUAACUAUAUGUCGCAGAAUUGUCAUGUGACUGUAGCGGAGUAGAAGUAAUAACAUCAAUAUCUCCGCUGGUAGCCUUAAAUAAUAUCCAAGAGAAGCGUGGCUCGGCAUUCCCAUCCAAAUUCCCCAAUAACUGCACGAUACACAGCUUUGGGAGUCAACUGGUUUUUAUCGAGCCACAGCUGGCUUUUAUACAAUUCCCCAUGCAAGGGGUUUCCUUAAUUACAUUCCAGGGGUUUACCUUGGUGGGGACAGGGAGCAAAGACACAUUUCUCAGACUCCUUUUCUGUACUUGGAAGAUAAUUGCGUAAGGAUACUUCUUUAAUUAGAUUAUCUCUCACAUACAGAAAAUUAAACAUUUUGAAACUUCAUAACUCCUAUAAUAUUAGUCAGAACUCCACCGAAUAGCAGGGAUCUGAGCACCCAAUUUGUCGAAAUACCGCUCAUAUCCGUUCGGUAGAACAGGAACGCCAUUCGAGUGAAGUUUAGACAGGUCAACCACAAGGCGAAGCCCCAAAACAAUUCCAUGUGGUUGUAUGCUGUGACCAGUCUUCUUUCGGGAGUUUUCACUACUAAACUAACGAAUGCAAAUGUUCAUGAAUAGGGUAGUCGUGUGCCUGGUGUUUAUUCGUUCCAUUCAGUCGAAUGCCGCUCUUUAUAGACAAAAGGAAAUUAACGUAUGAACAGGAUGGAAGUUCAGCAGUGUUCGCACGGUCGAGUGUCCGAUUAUAGUUCCACACACUCGACAACCAAACACUGCUAUAGGUUCGUGAGCAAAGAUGGCCACUGCCACGUGUUCGGUCAUACAAACGGCGGCCACCCAUCCGACCAUUUAGAACCUUGCGGUUUUCUGGUGUGAAGAUAGUCAAUUGGAGGCACACGACUUCCUUGGGUGGUCUCCCCGUUUGGUGGUUGGUUCGACUGACGAACAAUAUAUCUAUAUUCUGUUCAGGAACCUCAAUUAGUCGAACCAACUCAGUCUUUCAUACAAAUAAGUGGCUAGUUUUGCCACAGUGACCAUGGUGUUUUACAGCAAAAAUGAUGAAUAGCAAAACAAGCUCUUCAGGGAAGGGAAUAAAUAAUCGUAAAAGUAAAUGACAAUUAUAAACUAUAGGUUUCUUUGCAAUUUUCCCAUAUAUCCCAGCUGUGUUAAAGUUGCACAUGUACACUGGAACUUUGUCUAUAUGACAUUUCAUGUAUUUUAUUGUCUAAAACUAAAUUCAAGAUUUCUUUGAGCGAUGGAGUAUCAGGCGAUUUCCAAUAUCGUGGUAAACACGAGUUAGAAGCAAUUAGAAGCAAAUACUUUUAUUAUUAGUCUAUGUAUUUCCUUUCAAUAUUUAGACAAUUUUGGGCAGCACCACCAAAUAUGAGCCAUAUUACCUACACCUCCGCAAUCUCUCCAACACGGGUCAGAGUACUUGUUAUUCAUAUUGUUUAGACGAGAGGGAGCCAGGUACCAUUGAUAAAGGAUCUUGUAAUGGUUCUCAAGUUGAUUUGUACAAUAAGUUAUACCUUUGAGAGCUGUAAAAAUUUUAACCAUUCCUCCAAACUGUACUGUGUACCUAGCUCCCUCUCCCAUGACAAAAUGUGUCCUAGUUUAACCCCUUAAGGACACAUGACAUGUGUAAUGUGUCAUGAUUCCCUUUUAUUCCAGAUAUUUGGUCCUUAAGGGGUUUAGUGUUAUGCAGUGAGUAAGAAAUAGACAGUAGCCCUUUUCGUCCUGGGUCAUGUAAAAAUAACUUUUCUAAUUUAGAACUUUCCAAAAUUUUAUAGUUUUUAUCCAAUUCUCUAACAUUAAAUUUUUCUUUAAUUUUUUUUUGCUAAUUUCUAUGUAGUUUGUUCUUGAGUUAUCAGGUACACUAUAUUUAAAUUGCAUUUUUUUUAAAUGAAAGAAUGGAAUUUCCCUGGGAAAAAAAUGGUCCAAAUAUGUUAUGGAAUGGCUAUGCCAAAAAUGUAUGUCUAUAGUAGGUAAAUGAUCGGUUAAUAUUGAGAUUGGCAUAGCUCUAUAGAGACCUGAACCCAGAGUUUUAUUCUUGAAAACAAUAUCCCAUACCUUAAGUGUGGUUCUGGUAGAUAAAAACAUAGUGGUAGUUUUAGGCCUUUUUUUCGGAUUAAGCCAUAAUGCAUCUUUUAGAGAGGCUGGUAAAACUUUAGUUUCCUCCAUCUUCAACCAUCUGGGUUUGUUGUUGUGUAUGUUAAAUCCAACUGCUGUAGCAGCGUUAGUGGCAAAAUAAUAUUUGCAGAUGUCUGGUACACCAAUGCCGCCAUUAAUUUAAUUCUACCAUGUUUGUUUUUCCAUAUAAACUUUAACAUAACUGAAUAAGUUUUGGAGAAAAAAGAUAACGGAUAGACAGGGGUAUGGUCCUAAAAUAGUAUAGGAGUUUCGGGAAGAUUGUCAUCUUAAUAGAUACAAUCCAUCCCAGCAAAGAGUUCCAUUUCACACCAUCUCUCCAUCUCUUUUUGUAAGGCGGGCCAUGCUUCAUUUAAAUUAUACAUAUGCAUAUAGGUUAAGUUUUUACAUAAAUUGAUACCUAGGUAUUCAAAAUAAUCUACUCUCAAUUUGUAAGGAUAUGUUCUUUUUAAAAUUACCAGGACUAAAUGAUUAACAUAAAGUCAGAGGGCCUGAGUUUUGGAUAUGUUCAAUUUAUAGUAUGAGACUUCACUAAAUUGUUUUAGAAUCUCUUUUAAAUGACUUAAAGAUGAGAUCCGAUUGCUAACAGCCAAUAAAAUAUAAUCUGCAAACACUCCUAUUUUAUGGAUUGAGUCCUCGUCUUUAAUUCACUCUAUCUCAGGUGUGGUUCUUAUUAAUUCGGCUAAGGGCUCCAUCGCUAAAACGAAUAAAAGGGGAGAUAAAGGGCAGCCUUGCUUGGUUCCAUUUGUGUGAGAACAUUUCUGAUUUGAAGCCCGAAGCUGAUACAUGAGCCGUAGGGUUACCAUAUAGAGCAGAGAUGAGGGAAUGUUACAUUUUUGCAAAGUGGGAAUGUUACAUUUUUGCUAAAUUUUCCAUAGAUAACCGCAGUGUAUUCUGUUAAAUGCCUUCUCCGCAUCUAAAGAUAAGAUCAGAGAAGGCGUCCUGACAGAAUUAAUGUGUUGAAUUAAGUUAAUAAAACAUGUGCCGUCAGGAGCUUGUUUUCCAUGCACAAACCCCACUUGGUCUCUAUUGAUUAUAGAAGGAAUAAGUUUAGCCAAUCUAUUGGCCAAAAGUUUAGCAUACAUUUUCGCAUCGUUGACCAUGGUGUUUUCUAAGGGAUGGAAUUUAUUGGCUCUGUAGGUUUUAAAUGCGUAUCAAAAAAGAAGUGAGUUAGGUAGGUGUGCGUAUUUGGACCUGUAUAAACAACAAAAUAAAGUGCAAGCCAUUGAUAGCUUUGAUAAGUCAAAUAGUAAAAGUCACAUACAUGACAGAGCUGCUUUAAUGCCAAAAGGAUUUUAGUCCAGUUAGUUGGCUGCUCUUAUAAAGAACCCACCUUGACUAAAUAAAGACUUUGCUCGUCGAUGUGCAUCACUUUCAGGAGUGAAGUAUGUUAAUGGUUUCUUAAUAUAUUAGAUUGCCUUGCCCUGCACUAUACGAUUUAACUAACUUGCACCUUAUUUCACUCAGCAUACAUUCCACACUUUGCUUUGCUGGUAUGUAUGGAUAUUAAAAACUAGGCUAUCAUAGCUAAUAUAGAAAAUGUAUGCAUUUAAUUUCACCUAAAUUUAGCAAUUUUGUUUUUUGAGUUCAACACAAUUCAACCCCAUCAUAUUGACCAGAAUUAGGAGAUUUAGACCAGCCAAGUGUAAAGGAUAUGACAGAGUCUAUAUCUGAUUAAAACAUAACAGGAGGAAGUCAAUGUAACAAUAAUGUAGGUUGUUUUUUGGAGACAGGAUGUGUUGCAGUAUGUUGGAACCUAUAAGACACUCUGUGGGGUUCUGGCCUGCAGCUGCAAACACAGAACAGAUCUUACCGCAUUACACGUGUUUACAUUCAAUUUACAUUUGUACAGGCUAGGAAUAUGAUUUCCAUGUACAUUCAAAUACAAGGCGUUAUUUUACAAUACAAUUCUACAUUGAUUUUUGCUUUCAUACAUAAAAUUAACCGUUUUUUUUUGUUAGCUGGAAUGGUGUAUCAAGCAAUAUAUUCCAUCGCCAUUUAGGUAGGCAGCCAGGUGUACAUGUGUUGCUGAAACAUGUCUAUCACCUCUGGUGUUAUAGAGAUAUAAAUACAUUCCUUGUGCUAUGCCUUGGUUUCGGUUCAAUUUCCUUUAAUACUUGUUUAAUAAAUUAUAAUUGUCUUUAAAAAUUAACCACCAAAUCAGGUACAAAAAGAAAAGAAAUCGCAUUUAAAUGAAUAAAUGUUUCAGCACAAUUAUCUUACAAAUCUACAGCCUAAAGUUCACAUUUAGAAGAUGCACCAAAAGAUGGGAAUUAUAGGAAUUGUCUGCUUCUUGCUUCUACAUGUAUAUAUAUCUACAUACAUACUAUUAAUGUGCAGAUAUCGACAUAAAGGUUAUAAGGAUGAAGGAAUAGCCUUUGUGCAUGAUGUGGAUCAUGCAAAAAUUACCCAGGAUGAUGCCAUGUUCUCUCUUCUACAUCAGGCAUUUCAUGUCAAGCCAUAGUUUGUCCGUAGCACAGCAGGUUAGGAGCCAUGUUUUUUCGGUUGCAUUCUGUGUUGUUGUCCCCAAAUACCCUUUGUUUUCCAGUGAUCUUUAGUAAUCCUGUCUGCUGGUCAACAACUGGAUCAUUUCCCUGAUAUAUGUUGUUAUAUCUGUUGAUAUGCCAUCUUGGGGGAGGGAUUCAGAUUGGCAAUUCUCUGCAGAUAAGAAUGUGGGUAUGGGAAUUUCUUCCAGUAGAUGCAUGGAAUACAAGAUUCCACACCAGUAGAUACAUGGAAUACCAGAUUAUAUACCAGUGGAUACAUGGAUUACCAGAUUCUAUACCAGUAGAUUCAAUGAAUACCAGAUUCUAUACCAGUAGAUACAUGGAAAACCACAUUCCACAUCAGUAGAUACAUGGAAUACCACAUUCUAUACCAGUAGAUACAUAAAAUACCAAAUUCUAUACCAGUAGAUACCUGGAAUACUAGAUUCUAUACCAGUGGAUACAUGGAAUACCAGAUUCUAUACUAGUGGAUACAUGGAAUACCAGAUUCUAUACCAGUAGAUACAUGGAAUACCAGAUUCUAUACCAGUAGAUACAUGGAAUACUAGGUUCUCUACGUGGAUACAUAAAAUACCAGUUUCUGUACCAGUUGAUACAUGAAAUACCAGAUUCUAUACCAGUAGAUACAUAAAAUACCAGAUUCUAUACCAGUAGAUACAUGGAAUACUAGAUUCUAUACCAGUGGAUACAUGGAAUACCAGAUUCUAUACUAGUGGAUACAUAGAAUACCAGAUUCUAUACCAGUAGAUACAUGGAAUACCAGAUUCUAUACCAGUAGAUACAUUGAAUACUAGGUUCUCUACGUGGAUACAUGAAAUACCAGUUUCUGUACCAGUUGAUACAUGAAAUACCAGAUUCUAUACCAGUAGAUACAUAAAAUACCAGAUUCUAUACCAGUAGAUACAUGGAAUACUAGAUUCUAUACCAGUGGAUACAUGGAAUACCAGUUUCUGUACCAGUUGAUACAUGAAAUACCAGAUUCUAUACCAGUAGAUACAUAAAAUACCAGAUUCUAUACCAGUAGAUACAUGGAAUACUAGAUUCUAUACCAGUAGAUACAUUAAAUACCAAAUUCUAUACCAGUGGAUACAUGAAAUACCAGAUUCUACAUAAGUGGCUACAUGGAAUACUAGAUUCUAUACCAUAACACAACACAAUAAAUAUGAAAGCAGGGAUUUAUUCACAAAUAAACACAAUUUUACAGUAAGUUCUGACAUAGAAAAUAAUAUUUUCCUUAUUAUGUGUUUUUAUAUAUUGAUAAAAUAAACACAGAUGAUCCAUUCUUGCCAUGUUUUUCUUCUCCCACUUGCAUUUUUCACUGUCAGGUUCUGAAGUAACAUAAACCAUUUUAUGAAGGAACGGAAUCCGCCCCUUGUCUAUUACCGUUUAUAGCACUAUAUGAGCAUUCAUUUACUUCAUUUAUAAUUCACUCAGAUUUCUCAUAAACGGUUAAUAAACAUUUCCACUGUUCGCAUUAAAAGCAAUUAAACUUCACACAGCACUAUUCAAUUAAGGAUCCCCGCAUGAAGCAUUUAAUACUACGUCAAAUGCCAUUAUAGAUUUGAUUUUACAUUUCUCGGCAAGAUUAAUUUACUUUGCGAGUUGGUUGAAGAUGAAUGCAGUACAUUAUGAAUUUGAUGAAGAUGGAUUUUUAAUGGUGUCUCUGUGUAUGUUUAUUAGAGACUGCUAUGCUGUAAUUUAAUGCAAAAAACUGGAAAAACACCUACAAAGUACAGCAAUUCUUUAUUACCGUAUAUUUAUGUUAAUCAAAACCCCAAAGGGACCCUGGAAUUCAUGCAUUAAAUAGUAUAUAUUUAGCACUAGACAUCUACAUUGCAUUGAAGAAUGUCGAGUUAGAACUUUAAAGGUCAUAUCUAAAGAAUUAGGAGAGACCAAACUAUUAAGGAAUACAUUUAAAUGGAAAGUGUCAUUAAAUAUACAACCUUAGCCCUUUUUUAGAGCUUAAAAUUCUAUCUAUACAUUAUGCAAGCGGUUUUGCUAGCAAAUGUAUAGAUUGGGAGUAAGAAUACAUUUAGAAAUCGGCGGGCCAGAUAUGACAUGACAGUUUCCGUUUAAACGUUCUGUUUAACACAUCUCCCGACAGGUCUCCCUAUUUUGUCACAGAUCUUCCCUAGACAGGUAAUCUACUUGUAUGACAGAUCUUCCCCAACUAGUGACCUAAUACCAAAUGUGAAGCAGCUCUGGAAACAUUUCAGAUGUCUCUUUCUGCUACACCCUGGUGCAAUGUUUUCCAAACCAACCCUCAAGGCACACCACCAGUCCAAGUUGUGUCAGAGUAACAGCUGGAACAGAAUUGGGAAUUAUUAGAUAUCCUCUUAAGUUUCUUAUAGAGAGUGGCACUACGUUCUUUAACAUAAAUGUAAGCGUUAAUAGUGUGACUUUAAAGGCAUGCUUUCCUAUUUAUUCUAACAUUGAUAGGACCUGGUUAAACCUGCUCAGAGGUUUGUUUUGGCAACCAAACUAUUUUACAGGAUAUAUCCUGGUCUUUCAUCAUAGUUUUAAGUAAAAACACCUUUUUUGUGGUUAGCAUCCUACACAUACAUCGGGUAAUUCACUAAUGUCCAAAUUAUAUAGAAUCGAAAUCCAAAUGGCAAAAGUGGGGCAUAAAUAGAUAAUUCUGAAAAAUUCACCAGGUCAGCUAAUGUCACAUUUCGGUUAUUUUUAGCUUGAGUUUUGUAAUUUAGAUUUUAAUAUGCUUGCCACAGUUUAGUGAAUAAUUGUGUGGAUUUUCCAUAAGGUUUGAUUAAAUAAUUUCACAGAAAAAAAAGAAAAAACACACUGCUCCAGGAACACCGUUUUUAAAAUGGUGUAAAUGUAUAUGACUAGUUAAUCUAUAUCCUUCUGUGAACUGAUUCAUAGUCCAAAAAUUAUAAGAAUAUAUUGUAUUAAAAUAAUGAGUAUAUAUUGUAUAAGAGUUGAAAUUAUUAAUAGAUUAUUCAUGGAUUAAGGGGACACUAUAGGCAUGCAGACCACUUUGUCUUAAAGAAGUGAUCUGGGUGCCAUGUCCUUGUCUGCUCAACCCUUUAACAGUAAACACUGCCAUUUGGCAGGAACGGCAAUGUUUACAUUAAAGGGUUUAAAUGCCUCUAGUGGCUGUAAAUCUGACACCUACUAAAGGUGCUUCCACAGAAAUAACUCAGCUAUUUCAAUCAGACAGUCUCAUUGUCACAGUUCGGUGCUUCUUUGCACAUGCGCACUUACAUUCCAAAGCUUUCCUUGGGGAAAGCAUUGACUGGCUGAGAUCAUCUACACUGGUCAUCUCAGCCAAAAAGACAAAGCUUCCCCAUGGAGCCCAGCCUCACCCUUCCAGUCCUCCCACGGCAAGGGGGGCACUAGUAUAGAUAACAAUACUUUGACUGUUGAGUUUGCAUAACCCUCAUGUCAUAGAACUGGUGGGACCAUCCUGAAUUCAAGAAUCUGUGAAAUGUCCCCAAACAGUGCAUGGAAAGGACAUCAUUAGAUGCACAUGCACUGUGUUGAGUAAUUGCAGGGCAUUAAGCCCAAUGGUCAGAGCACGUAAGAAGCGCUGUGCACAUGGGCAACCUAGAAUAUGGCCAGCAAGCCUUGCAUACACACACAUCAGGCUAAUAAGCCCAAUUUUUAGUCAGGUCCAAACACUUUGGAGGUAAGCUGCCAUUCUGUGUCCCCAUCCCCGUCCUACCAAUGAUGGAAGAAAUUACUUUGUAAUGAAUUAAUAUAAAUAAUUUCAACUUGUAUAUGAGAAAUAUUUUUUCUUCUAAACUAUUAUCAUUAAGUAGCUAAAUACGCUUUUCACACUAACUAAAAAUGACACAUCAGACGCCUACAUUUCUACUUUUAAGCCUUCUUAAUGUAUGAUAUCAUAAAUCAUGAUAUCUAGCUAAUUUUGUUUACUUUUAAAAUACUAAAAUAAUCUAAGCAUCUUAACCCUUUAAGCACAGAGCUAAUGGUCCAACUUCUAAACCAAAACUAAAUUUAACAGUUUGUUCUAUUGUAAUUUAAGGUUUCUUUUUUUAGUGCCCCCAAGCAGAUUACUUGUAUUUUUAAAGGACAUAAAUACUUUAUCUUAAUAUACUAUAUGUAUACCUAAACAGCAUUAAGUGUGAACAGAAUAUUAAAACUGGGAAAGAAAUUUAAAAAAUUAUUUUUGCUUACAGUAAUUUGUAUACAUCCAGUGCGACAAAAGAAAAAUAACUUAAAUACAUUCACAUAUCACUCUUAGUUGUUAACUGUGUCAUAUGUCUAAGAACUAAAUUAAGUUUUGAUAAGUAACACUAACUCUAUACAAAUCCCAUUUUUAAAGCUAUCCCAGCACUACCACUAUAAAUAUACUAAUUCUUACUGUAUACCUACCCUUUCCUUAACCAACGCUUUACCUAGAAUUGCAUUAACCCUAAUCCUGAGGAAUUCCCUCUGCUACUAUCAGUACUGAUAUCAGCAGAUGGAUUUCCUAGCUAAAACAGUAGAGAGUGGUCUACUGGCUACCAUCUACUGGCUGUUUUCAGAAUGACAGGGAGAUCUCCAUGUCAUGCUGAACCUCCAGAUUGCUUUACCUGACGACCAUAAUGUAAUCAGUUCUGGGUAUCUGGCAAAGCUCGGCACAAAUCACAAUUGGCAGUGAUCUGUCCAGACACUGUGGGACUCCCUCAGACUGAUGGCAGCUAGAUAAUCAACAUGGCUGUGUGUGACGCUCUCAGCUGUUGUAAUGUCAAAGGAUUUAAAGAGCUGUAUACAGGGCUCAAAAUGAGCACUGCAUACAGCUCAUUAGUCAGUCUGGGUCCACUAAAUGUGGCCCCAGCUCACAGACAGGAGCCAAAGGUACUUAAAUAAAUAUACAAAUAGCUCUAUGCACUUAAUAUGGCCCCAGUUGACAUAGGGGCGCACCAGAUAUUGAUUGAUAUGUUGGACUCCCUGGUGUGAGCAGGGAUAUAACACUAACAACAAAAUUAUGUAGGACAUGCUUAGUAUGCUUUGUAGGACAUAAUGGCUUAAUGUCAUUAAGAGGUUAAAGAAUUGUCCUUUCUCUCAUAACAUUUAUGCUGUUAUAUAAAUACAUUUGUUCAAUAAAAGUACACUGUAUUUUAAUUAGUUUUAUUCCCAAUAUGAUAUUUAUUUUAACGUUUUACUGAAAGUAUACCAGGUAGAGAAUAUAAAAAAGAUGUGAAGGAAGGGGUGAGAGAACAAGAGCAAAAAAAGCAAAACAACAAAACAAACAAAAAAACCAUAAACCAAACAAAUUAAUUUCAAACAAAAUAAUAUAAGCCAAUGGUUACAAGUAUUUAACACUAUAUAUCAAAAAGGUACAUUUUACUGGAUUAUGGUCACAGGCGUGAACACGGGGUGUGCUGGGUGUGCCUGGCACACCCUAAUCCCCGCGGCACGCCUAUAGAGUGAGACCGGCAGGGGAUAUCUCAGGAUCUGCCCUGUCGGCUCAUGCAGAGCCGGCGCUAUCCGAGUGCCGGCUCUGCUCUCAGCCUCCAUCCCCACUGCAGCAUGGAGGGAGGCAGGAGAGGACCCGGGGAGCUCAACCAGCAGCUCUGACGGAUUCCUCUCGUGAGAUCUGAGCGUUGCCGCGGCAAUGCUCAGAUCUCGCGAGAGUGAACUUUAUCCCCACAGGGGCUAGAGUUCACUCUCCACUGGACCACCAGGGAUGGCAGCAGGAACAAGAAUCCUCCCUCCCUACAUAAGGUAAGAAGGGAGGGGGGAUAUUAAGUAAUGUACCCCCACCUCCACCCCCACAAUCACACACAUACAGCACACACACACAUACAGCACACACACCCACACACACAGCACCCACACAGACACACAGCACCCACACAGACACACAGCACCCACACACACACAGCACACACACAUACAGCACCCACACACACACAGCACCCACACACACACAGCACCCCCACACACACAGCACACACACAUACAGCACCCACGCACACACACAGCACACUCACACACAUACAGCACACACGCACACACACACACACAGCACACACAUACAGUACCUUCACACAUACAGCACCCACAUACAGCACCCACACACAGCACACACACACACACAUGCAGCACCCACACACACACAGCACACACACACAUACAGCACCCACACACACACCACACACACAUAGAGCACCCUCACACACAUACACCACACACACACAGCACACACAUACAUACAGCGCACACACAUACAGCACCUUCACACAUACAGCACACACAUACAGUGCACACACACAUACAGCGCACACAUACAGCACCCUAACACACAUCCUGCACACACACACAUACAGCACCCACACACAUACAGCACCCUCACACAUACAGCACCCUCACACACAUACAGCACACACAUACAACACAUACAGCACACACACAGCACACACAUACAGCACCUUCUCACAUACAGCACCCACACACAGCACACACAUACACCACCCACACACACACACACCCACACACACAUACAGCACCACACACAUACAGCACACACACACAUACAGCACUCACACACAGCACACACACACAUACAGCACACACACACACACACACACAGCACACACAUAGAGCACCUUCACACAUACAGCACCCACACACACACAGCACACACAUACAGCACCCACACACACACAGCACCCACACACAUACAGCACCCUCAAACACACAGCACCCUCUCACACACAGCACAGAAACAGCACCCUCACAAACACACACACAGCACCCUCACACACACAGCACACUAACAAGACCCUAACAAACACACACACACACAAACGCCCUCACACACACACAGCACACAAACAGAACCCAGAUAUUGAUUGAUAUGUUGGACUCCCUGGUGUGAGCAGGGAUAUAACCCUAACAACAAAAUUAUGUAGGACAUGCUUAGUAUGCUUUGUAGACAUAAUGGCUUAAUGUCCUUAAGAGGUUAAAGAAUUGUCCUUUCUCUCAUAACAUUUAUGCUGUUAUAUAAAUACAUUUGUUCAAUAAAAGUACACUGUAUUUUAAUUAGUUUUAUUCCCAAUAUGAUAUUUAUUUUAACGGUUUACUGAACGUAUACCAGGUAGAGAAUAUAAAAAAGUUGUGAAGGAAGGGGUGAGAGAACAAGAGCAAAAAAAGCAAAACAACAAAACAAACAAAAAAAACAUAAACCAAACAAAUUAAUUUCAAACAAAAUAAGCCAAUGGUUACAAGUAUUUAACACUAUAUAUCAAAAAGGUACAUUUUACUGGAUUAUGAUCAUAGGCGUGCACACGAGGUGUGCUGGGUGUGCCUGGCACACCCUAAUCCCCGCGGCACGCCUAUGGAGUGAGACUGGCAGGGAAGAUCUCAGGAUCUCCCCUGUCGGCUCAUGCAGAGCCGGCGCUAUCCGAGCGCCGGCUCUGCUCUCAGCCUCCCUCCCCAUUGCAGCAUGGAGGGAGGCAGGAGAGGACCUGGGGAGCUCAACCAGCAGCUCCAACGGAUUCCUCUCGCAAGAUCUGAGCGUUGCCGUGGCAAUGCUCAGAUCUCGCGAGAGUGAACUUUAUCCCCACAGGGGCUAGAGUUCACUCUCCACUGGACCACCAGGGAUGGCAGCAGGAACAAGAAUCCUCCCUCCCUACAUAAGGUAAGAAGGGAGGGGGGAUAUUAAGUAAUGUACCCCCACCUCCACCCCCCACAAUCACACACACACAUACAGCUCACACACACAUACAGCACAAACACCCACACACACAGCACCCACACAGACACACAGCACCCACACACACACAGCACACACACAUACAGCACCCCCACACACACAGCACACUCACACACAUACAGCACACACACACACACACAGCACACACAUAGAGCACCUUCACACAUACAGCACCCACAUACAGCACCCACACACAGCACACACACACAUACAGCACCCACACACAAACACCCACAGCACCCACACACAUACAGCACACACAUACAGCCCACACAUACAGCACACACACACAUACAGCACCCACACACACACAGCACACUCAAACACAUACAGCACACCCACAUACAGCACCCACACACAGCACACACACACACACACAUACAGCACCCUCACACACACAGCACACACACACAUACAGCACACACACGCACACACACACACAUAGAGCACCCUCACACACAUACACCACACACACAGCACACACAUACAUACAGCGCACACACAUACAGCACCUUCACACAUACAGCACACGCAUACAGUGCACACAUCCAGCACCCUAACACACAUCCAGCACACACACACAUAAAGCACCCACACACAUACAGCACCCACACACUUGCAGCACCCUCACACACAUACAGCACACACAUACAACACACACACAUACAGCACACACACAGCACACACAUACAGCACCUUCUCACAUACAGCACCCACACACACAGCACACACACACAUACAGCACACACACACAGCACACACACACAUACAGCACACACACACAUACAGCACACACACACAUACAGCACACACACACACACACACAUAGAGCACCCUCACACACAUACACCACACACACAGCACACACAUACAUACAGCGCACACACAUACAGCACCUUCACACAUACAGCACACACAUACAGUGCACACAUCCAGCACCCUAACACACAUCCAGCACACACACAAAUACAGCACCCACACACAUACAGCACCCUCACACACAUACAGCACACACACACACACACACACACACAUAGAGCACCCUCACACACAUACACCACACACACAGCACCCACAUACAUACAGCGCACACACAUACAGCACCUUCACACAUACAGAACACACAUACAGUGCACACAUCCAGCACCCUAACACACAUCCAGCACACACACACAUACAGCACCCUCACACACAUACAGCACACACAUACAACACACACACACAUACAGCACACACAGCACACACAUACAGCACCUUCUCACAUACAGCACCCACACACACACAGCACCCACACACACACAGCACCCACACACACACAGCACCCACACACACACAUACAGCACCCACACACACACAUACAGCACCCUCACACACAUACAGCACACACACACAUACAGCACACACACACAGCACACACAUACAGCACCUUCACACGUACAGCACCCACACACGUACAGCACCCACACACAUACAGCACCCUAAAACACACAGCACCCUCUCACACCCAGCACAGAAACAGCACCCUCACAAACACACACACAGCACCCUCACAAGACCCUAACAAACACACACACACAAACGCCCUCACACACACAUAGCACACAAACAGAACCCUCACACACAUCACACUUACAGCACCCUCACACACAGCACCCUUACUCACACACACACACACACACAACACCCUUACACACACAACACCCUCAAACCACCCUCACAGAGCACACACACACACACACACAGCAGUGUAUGUAUGUGUGUGUGUAUAUAUAUAUAUGUAUAUAUAUAUAUAUGUGUGUAUGUAUAUAUAUAUAUAUAUAUAUAUAUACACACAUACAUAUACACGCGGCGUGUGUUAGUGCUUUAGGGUGCACACCCUAAUGCAAUAGGCUGCGCACGCCUAUGAUCAUGAUGUCAGUACUAUGAAUAUACACCAUAAAAAUAAAUGUGACAUUAGAAACGGAAUGUGGAGAGCAUACAUCUGGGAAUAAGGAAACCACCUUUCUCUUUACGGUACAACUUGUGGGACAAAUUGGCCAGGGGCCACAAAAAGCAGAUUAAUAUGAACAUAUCUACUAAAGUUCUUAGUCUAAAAACACUAGAUGUCAAUAUACUAAGCGGAGAAUAAACCUUACCUUUUAAGCUUCAUUUAAAUACUAGAUACAGCACAGUAUACCCACGCUGUACCGUGCCACAAACUAAAAUAACUUGAUUUCUUUUAACCUUUAUUCAGUAAUCAUUUAAAUCUACCUCAUUUUUCAAUAAGAUCACAUCCUAAACUAACUCUAAAAACACAAUAUAUAUGGUAUAUAUGACUCAAAAAGAGUUUGUGAAAAGUUAAAGUUUACAAACAUUGGCUGUAUGAGAUGAUCAAGUACACAGGUUACAGAUCGUUUACACUAUAUUUAGAUACAUUGUGUAUUUGUAGUUCAAGAUAAUCACUUCGUCUAUAUUCCAUACUCUAGUGCAACGUUUUUUCUAGAGGAGUGGAACCUGCUAAAACAGUAAAAGAGAUACUUACUAUAAAUACAUAAAUGUGACCUUGAAAAAAGAUGACUAAACUAUAUCCAGGUGUCCACUUACUGUUAUUUGAGAAACAAAAACACACGUUAAAAUGUUACCCUUUCGCUUUGAUGGCUGAAUAAUCCACCUGAAUUUAUUGCCUAGUUUUGAGGACCUUUUUUUUUGUUUGCGUAUUACUGUGGAUUACCUUCUAGCAAAAGUACCAAAUUUAGAGUUUACCUUGGAGUGACUGCCACACUGUAUUUACUCAUCCACUUACUAUAGGAAAUGAAGUGUCAGUAGUAUGCAAUUUAAAACAAAUAUAUUUUGUCUUGUUAAUAACAUAAAAUACACUAUUUAGAUAUUCCCCUUGUUAAAAGUAUGCUUGUGUUUAAUUCUGCAUGUUUUGGAGGGGGGGUGGGGGGGGGUUAAUCUAAAAACAGAGUACAAAAGUUGCAGAUCUGUUGUCUGCAGCCUUUGCAAGCUCUCCCCUCUUUCUACUGCACAGACUUUCAGAAACUUCUCCAUGGACCUGACUGACAGCCCAGGAGGUGUUUCUAACCUCCAAUUAUAAAAGUGAUGAUUUUUAUGGAAAAUGGCUCUUUUAUAAUCAGCCAUAAAUAUGACAGAAUCCUGCCCAAUAAAGCAUUUCAGCAAGCCAAUGUGCUUUAAGUGUGUAAAGUGACCCUUUAAACUGAAAAGGUCAUUUGUGAAAUGGACAUUUACAUGGUGGCUCCACAGAGGAGCUAAGAAAGAUUACCAUGUUACCUGAAGCUCUGUUUCUCAAAGUUUAAUUUCUUCCUUUCUUGGCACAUCUGCAAGGAGCCAUGCCACUUGUCUACUCUUGGGUAUCCAUAUACACUCAUGCCAUGGGCAUCUUCUGUGAAUCAAGUGAUAAGGAACAUGCUCCCAUCAACCACUGCAAUCUACUUUACAUGGGAUAUAGCAAAACGUGACAGCAAAAGCUGCAUGAAGCUCCACCUGUAUCUUGACAAAAAGUAUUUCCAAUAAAAAAAGUUUCUACUUUUUUUUAUAUGUGUGUAACUCCUGUGGGGAGGGGGGUAACACCUAUUUAAAUUUAAAUACAAAAACACAGAGUAAAUCAGGAGUGUGAAGAGGGAGUAAAUGCCAGGUAUACCCAGUGUACUAAAAGUUUAGAACAAAGAAAAUCAUUUGAAAAUAAAGAUUCAAAACACAGGGCUAUCCCAACAAGGUCUUAAAAGGGGCUUGUCAAAGAGCCAUCUCCAUGGAGGAUAGGCCCACAUGCCUACGAACCUCAAGAACAGAAUUCACCCAAAAUGUCACUGACUCAGGGGCAUACCUAGAGCAUUUGGAACCGGGGGCAGGUCCUAUUUUUGGCACACCUCCCCUCCCCCCCACACACACACUUUAAAAUGUAAAAAACAAUCAAAAUUUUUGUUAAUGUAUUUAUCACUGAGCAGUGUUUGUGUGUUUGAAUGUUAGCAUGUUUUUGUAUGGAGUAUGUAUGAUUGAAUACAGCGGUGUGUUUGUAUGUAGUGUUGGCGUUUGAAUGCAAGCAUUUAUUUGUGUGUAGUGUGGGUUUCUAAUGCAGUGGUGUGGUUAUAUAUAAUGGUGGGGUUUGGAUGUCCUUCACUGUUUAGACACAUAUUUGGGUCUCCAGAGGAAGAAAGGAGAAUUUGGAGCUUCUCGAUAGUGGGCAUUGAUAGAUUUCCCACCCACCCCCAUUAUCGUUAACAAUCACUUAAUUGUUUUACAACAAUGGUGGUGGCAUUAGUAUAAGAGUUUGAGUUUUUAACUAGAAUCUAAUAAAAGUUAAGUUUUUUCUUUGUUCUAAACUUUCAGUACACUGGGUAUACCUGGCAUUUACUCCCUAGUCACACUCCUGAUUAACUCUGUAUUUUUGUAUCUACUUUUUUCUGAUUUCAAUAGAAUUUCAACACGCACUCCCUUUAAAAAGAUCAUAUUGUUAUGAAAAACUCAAAACUCACAGUGCAUUCAGAUUUAGUUUUCCUAGGCACAUUGCACUGCAAAUGAGGCUUGUGGUCAUCGGUAAGGAUGCCAAAAUGAUAUUUGUUGGGUCAUUACUUUGGAAAAACAGUCAUUUGCUAGGAAAUGAUGUCUGCUACAUAGAUGUGCUGCUUCAGUGAUAAAGAAAUUCAUUAAAAUUGCUUUAUUAUGAACUUCUGUACAAGACAAUCCAAUGCACAAUGUAUGAUAACAUGAUAUUAGAUUCAAAUAGAAAAUAUAUGUAAUCAAUAUCCAGAUUUAUUGGAAAUAGAAGUGUAUUUUUUAAUGUUAUUGUGCUGGUCUAUGUGAGCUAUAUUGUAUGUCAUUAUAACUUUAUAACUUUAUUAUAUGUAACUAUCUGGUGAUAAAUACACCAAAUAUUACUAUAACCAAUAACAUAUUCUUGCAUCCUGGUACAAUACUUUUACCACUUAUUCUCCUGCUGUAUGAAUGUGGGCUCCCUGAUGACAGAGGACACGCCAAGCAACAUAAUGGUGGGCAUCCCCCACAUUAUAAAAAUGGGCAAGUCGGCAGCAGCCCUGGUUCCUGAAGAUAAGUAGAUUCCCCUACAUGAUAGGACGAAUUGAUAUCUUUUGGUUGAAUACCACAUAUGGACAGCAGCCAUGGUUCCCACACACUGGGUGAGAUCUAAGCCAUGAUAUAUUCAUUCAAAGCAUUUUUUCUGCAACAAUCAGAACGUGUGUGUGCGUGUGUGUUGCAUUAUUCUCUGGCAUUUUUCUUCUUUUUGUAUGCAAUGUGAAUGCCUCCAUAUUUCAUUUAUUACGUACAGUAGAUCUUUUUGUUUACUGUGGUAUUGAAUUUAUUCUGCUAGCUUGCAAACUUUUAUUUUUCAUUAAAAAAAAUAAUAGAGAGAGAUUGUACUCAUCUAGCUUGCAUAAUAGAGUGAAUAACACUGUCAAGGGAAUUUAAUAUUUCAAAAUACAAUCACAAAUGUAAUUCCAGAGAACUUCAUUGCAACUUGAAUCAAUGUUUUGUUCUAUAUAUUAAGAUACAUAUAAUGUAUUCAGCAUUUAGGGAUUUAUAGAGAUUCUUGAUUAGAGUCAAUUAUAUAUAUGUAUAUAGUUAUAAUUAUAUAUGUAGUUUUCAGAAACUUUUGAAUAAUUUCACCCCGCUUUUAGGCACAAAAGUGUCUUGUCUAUAAAUUUUUCCAUUAAUGGUAUAUUUUUCCAUAUUUAUGUUAAUCCGUAUUGUUAUUAUUUUCAUGCCUUUUGCAACAUAUAGGCAUCAAUGUUAAUAUGUUGCUAAACACAAAUACACACACCAGUCAAGUCAUAAGACUUGCUUUUCCCACAGAAAUAUCACUUAAACUGUGCUCUGGGUAGCCAGAAUCCCUUGCAGUAGUGAGAGCACUGGUAAAGUGCUGAGGACAUCCCAACCUCCCGCUAGGGGAUGAUGCUCCCUAGAGAAGAAACUCUGAACCUGUCUGUUCUGGAAGUUGGCCAUCAUGUCAAUUUCUGGAAGACCCAUCUGUGAACCAACCACUGAAAGGCCCAUUUUGCUAGACACCAUUCUCCUGGCAAGAUUUUAUGUCUGCUCAGAAGAUAAAUUGCACAUAUCCCCAGAAGGUGAUUUUGUGUCCAUUUCAUGAGAGGAACCAUGAUACUCAUCACCCUCGGACUGUGAGUACCUCCUUGGUGGUUCACGUAUGCCACCACUGCAGUGUUGUCCACCUGUAGUUUCACCCAAUGGUGUCGGAUUCUUGACUUUAUAAUGGAAAAUUUAGAGGGAGUAUUGCGGAUAAAAGUGUCUAAGGAAGUUUUUCAAUAAUUAUCUGUGAGUUUGAGAGUAUGCAAACCAUAGUAGUGGAAGGUCCGGAAACACCGCUCAAUUACACUAGAGUACAAAAGCAGAGUUUUACAGGAGAGACUGAUAAAAUAAUACAAAUGAUUAAAACCAAUCUUGGACCACAAAGUAUAUGGAUAGUGUAGCGAACCACGGGUAACCCAACUGGUUACCUCCGCUAAUUCCUUAUCUCAGCCAGAUUGAAACCAUUAAAACUAUAAGCAUCCAUUCCCCCAGUAACCUGACGAAACAUAGUUCUGGGAGUCAACUGAUUUUAUUAAGGCCCCACACGGCUUGUAUGCACAGACCCCUAAACAUGGGGUCCCCAACACAACAUUGCAGGGUUUUCCUUCCCAGGGUCCUUUGUGCCUGAGAGAUAAUUGUGUAAGAAAAACCAUAAUUCAAUUAUCUCUCAGGUACAGAAAAACCUAUACAAAAUAUACAGUACCCCAAAAGUACCCCCAACAUAACUAGGAACCCCCACAACAGUUACAUCCCCGGAUAGCUGUGAUCUGAGAGUAUCACUCAGAUCUGUUUGGUAGAAUUGGAUUGCCACUGGGGUAAAGUUUUGACCAGCCAGAUACAAUGGGAUAGCCUAAAAUAGUUCCAGGGAAAUAGGUGCCCCAGCCGGUCUCUGUUCGGGGGUUCCUGUGUGAAAACCAUGGAAGGGAUUCUAUUGAUUUUGGUGUAUAAAUGCUCCCCCUAGUCGGUAGUUCCCACGUCGUUCACAUAGUUGGUCUAGAAAUAGUGGGCAGCAGUAUAACUUUUUAGCUGAAAAGAGUUCCAGGCAUUCGAUGACCAACUGCCACUGCCCACGUUCGGGAGACAAAAUGGCCGCCACUCUUUUGCCGACUAUGUGCAUUUGGUUAUACAAAAUGGCGGCCACCCAGGGGAAGCAUUUAUUAAUUACUUCCUUUGCAGUUUCGCACUUAAGUUACUAGGUGAGAACGUUCUAAUGGGGUACCAGGGUGGUCCUCAUUCGGGAGUCGAAUGUACAGUGUUCGGAUACUAUAACUCCGGAACGGAUAAAGGGUAAAACAUCAGAAAUUAGCUCCAUAGCGGUCAUGGCUAAGUACCGCUAAGGACUAUUUGUGUGUUUGGUUCAUGCAAAUGGCCGCUAGAGAGCUAGCGUUUGGUUCCAUUCACAUGAAGGGAAGGUGCCGAACCAGGGACACCCAGGGCAAGCUACUAAUGGAGGAUGAGCAGUUUAACUACCAAACGGUGUCCCAGACCUGGACCAUAGUUGGUGGGCAGGAGGCUGUAGCCCACACUUCUUCAGGAGUCAUUGGCAAACGUACAUGGGAAGGAGCGUUUGUCACAGAUAGGUACUAGCUCCACUUUAAACAUCUAUAUUGUUCGUCAAGGGAAUAUGAAAGGAUUUAAGUAAGAAGUGAUAUAGGAUGAUAGAUCUUUUUUAGUAUAGGUAUGACAAAAAGGCCUGAUAAGGUGAGAGGGAAUGGGAUGAAGGGAGUUGAUGUUGAGCGUUUCUUAAAAAAAAACUAUCAUGAUUUUAUUAAUAGGAUUUACAGUCAUACUUGUGGCAAGUGAACCAUGAAACAGAAUAUUAACAGGAAAACGUGCUUCUAUUACGAUGUUGGAAAAUGUAUUAUUUUCUCAAAGGUGCAUUACUGCAUACAGGAAUGUUAUUUUGCAAUAUUUAAUUUGGCUUUGUUGGGUGUUUUAUAAUAAUUAGAUUUGUGCAGUACGCCCAUCCUUUCUGCUCCACCAUAACAACCUAUGGAUUUUACUAUUUGGCUCCAAAAUUUCAGACUAAUACGUCAUAACCAGCUGUUAGCUUUCUACAAUAGAAAGUUUCUUAUUGAACUGGACCUCCCAGAACCCCUUGCUCUGCUGAUUUGCCUAUGGGAAACAGUGCUACAGAAAGUUAAGUAAUUAUUGUGAUUAGAGUCUCUUCCAGGAAGUUCAAAUGUGAUUUUCAAUUUUUAAUUACUAUUAAUUUGUUAUUUGCAUUUAUUUUUUUACUUUUUAUAUGGGACAUAGAUGUCAUGCCCCUUUUAAUUAUAAGAUUUUGUAGCUAUUGUAAAUGUUUUGGUGAAAAUCAUGGGAUUUGCUUAUACACAUGUUCAGUGACCGACUAAAAGCGUAAAUCUCUCCGCUAUGUAAUAGCGGAGACUGGGCAGGUAGCACAUUUGCUGAGCUCCCUAUUGUAUAUAUAAAGUGCUUUUAGCAUAUGGAUUAACAGCAUUUGGUUUAAUUAUUCAAUGGUCCUGCUGUGUAAUACCACAGUAAGUAAGCUGCAUUAUUGAUAAACUUGAAAACGUUUAAUUACACAUAAUACAUAUACAUUAGUAAGUAAACAGUGAUUCAUUUCUGUCCAUAAAAUAAUUUUCAAAAAUGUUAGUACUACUAGAUUGUGUUUCUAAUUUAAAGUAGGGGUUGGGGACCUAGCAUUGCCAAAUCACAAUAUUUACGAAGACAAGACAGUAGCUUUGAGAUUAUUGUCUGUGAUUAUUUAAUUGAUUUUACUUGAACUCUUUGCCCUAUACCCCAACAUCAUAAAGUAACUUAACAUCCCUAAAUGGACAGUAGAGAGAGACUGGCACUACCAGGCUGCAAAUUUUCACUAAAUACAUUUAUUUAUUAUUUAUUUAUAAAAUAUUUUAUUGGGAAUUUGUUGGGAAUUCAGAGCUAAUUCAAAGUGAAUUUCAAAUUUUGUGCCUAGAGAGCUGAAUUUGAAAAAUUCUCCAACUAUGUAUUAAGUUCAUAUAUUUUGGCCCAGAAGUUAAAAGUUAAAGGGUUCACCAAUCAUAACUACUAUAGCCUGCUCUAUGGUUAUGUUGUUAGGAGAACCGUGGCACCAUUCCCCCAUAAUAGGGCAAACUAUUUAGCAAUGGUCCCCGCCAGUGCUUGGCUUCAAGUCCUGCUGCGUGAUAUGCAUCUGACUUACACCGAGCUGUAAAAGCCAGAUCCCGAUCCCACCGCUAAGAGUGUCAGCUGAGCACCGAACGAAUGACCCACUAUACAUAGAAAUAUUCAUGAACAAAUGAUGCUGCCAGAGGUGGAGUUACAUUAAAUAUCUCUGUAUGUGCAGCAUUUCAUACUGAACUGCACUUACAGACUCCACGCACCAUGACCACUUCAAAACACUGAAGUGGUCAUGGUGCUUAGAAUUACCCUUUAACUUUGAAUUCACUUCAACUUCUAUGAUGAAACAGAGCAUUAAGCUGACGUGUUAAUAUUAUUGAGUAAUCUUAUGACCACUGUAAGGAUAAGAUUGCAUAUUGGAACUCUAGUGAUCCAAUCUAUUUGUGAUUAUUUGAAAAAUACCUUGCCCCAUCCUAAGCACAUUUCUAAUCUCCAUCUGUGUUUUUGGCUAUAUAACACAUUAAAUAUUUGUAUACUUACACAGAAAGCUAUAUUAUAUAUCCCUGGAUUGAAUAGAACCGUUAAUGCUAUUUUCCAUUUAAAGAAUCAGCUACUUGCUACUGUUUGGAUUCCAAAAACUAGAUUCUUUAUUAUAUUUUGAGAUGCCGUGGGCAAGAAAGUUUUUAUCCUUCUGUAGUUUAAAGAGCGCUUUUCUCAGGAUUAACAAAAGAAUUCCUGGCAUCCCUUGCAUUAAAAUAUUUCACAAGCUAAGUCACAAAAAGGUUUAUAUGGAUUUAAUGUGUGAAGACCACUAUUCUAAUGCAAAGGCCUUUCGCAACACUGCAACACGUGAUACAUUGGGUUUGUCCGAAACAAUUGAACCAGCAGUAAACAUUUUGCAGAUAAUUCUGUGACCAGCAUCUCUAUUCUAAUGUUUAUGUGUAUUCCAAAAGUGCAUUCCUCCUGCAUAACAACCAUUGUAAAGAAAAUGAAAAAACAAAUGAACUCUAGGCACAGUGCCGUUUGGUAGUUUAGACAAUUUGCCUUCACUUUUCUAUCUGUGUGGUGGCUUGUACUAAGUUCUGCAAAAAGGAUCUAGAUGUGUACUGUAAAAUGUGCUUUCAUUUUGAUUUCACAAUAAAAUAAACAGAAAUACAAAGUCGUCCUUAGAGUAGCCAGAAAAACGCAAAUAUCUUUACGUUAACUCAAGGAGGGCAAAAGUAUGUAAGCAACAUUUUGAAAAAAAAACUAUACAAAAUUAUUGUUCCUAAGAUACCAUAUAUAUAUAAUGUACUCGGUCGGAGUACGGGGAGUUCCGUUACAAUAUGCUUAUAUAUCAUUACAAACAGGGCCGGCGCUACCUGUAAGGCGGACUAGGCAGCCGGGGGAGGGGGCGCCGCCAGGAGCACCGGCCCCGCUCAUGCUGCAGCCGCCCGAGCACUCUGUAAAGAGCCUCAGGCGGCUGCAGCUUUGCCCGGGCGGUGCGUCCAUGAGGGCGGUCCACACAGCCCGGGCGCAGCAUGGGGAGAGGGGCUGACAGGAGGGAAGCGCUCAGCGCUCCCUCCUGUCACUCCCUCUCUGUAGCGUGGCCGAGCUCUGUAUAGUCGGCGGGUACAGGGAGCAUCUGUCUCCUGUACCCGGCCGGACUAACAGGAAGUGCACACUGAGUGUGCACUUCCUGUUAGUCCGGCCAGGUACAGGAAACAAAAGCUCCCUGUACCCACCGACUAUACUGGGCUCGGCCACGCUACAACACAGGUAGGGGAGGAGGGAGAAGAAAGAGGGGGGGGGAGAAAGAAACAGGGAGGGAGGGAGAAAGAAACAGGGGAGGGAGGGAGAAAGAAACAGGGAGGUGGGGGAGGGGGGGAGAAAGAAACAGGAGGGGGGGAGAAAGAAACAGGGAGGGAGGGAGGGGAAGAAAGAAACAGGGAGGGAGGGGGGGGGAGAAAGAAACAGGAGGGAGGAGGAGGGGGGGAAAAACAGGAGGGAGGGGGGGAGAAAGAACAGGGAGGGAGGGGAGAACAGGAGGAGGGGGGGAGGAAGAAACAGGAGGGGGGGAGAAAGAAACAGGGAGGGAGGGGGGGAGGGGGGAGAAAGAAACAGGAGAGGGAGGGGGAGAAAGAAACAGGGAGGGAGGGGGGGAGAAAGAAACAGGGAGGGAGGGGGGGAGAAAGAAACAGGGGGAGAGAAACAGGAGGGGGGGAGAAAGAAACAGGGAGGGAGGGGGGGAGAAAGAAACAGGGAGGGAGGGGGGAGAAAGAAACUAACAGGGAGGUGGGGGAAAGAAACUAACAGGGAGGGGGGAAGACAUUGACAGGGAGGGGGAGUGACAGGGGAGGGGGAAUGAGAGUAACAAGGGAGGGGGAGAAGAGAGUGACAAGGGAGGGGGGAGAGAUUGACAUCCAUUACACACACACACAAUCACACACAAAGACAAUGAACCCCUUGCACACAGAAAAACACACAAUGCAUUACACACACGCAAUGCAUUACACACACGCAAUGCAAGCCUUACACACAAUGCAUCCCUUACACACACAGAAACACACAAUGCAUUCCUUACACACACUCAAUGCAUUCCUUACACACACUCAAUGCACCCCUUAAACACUCACACACUUCAUCCCUUACAUACACAGAAACACACCUUGCAGCCCUUACACAUACAAACACAGAUUCACACAAUGCAUUCCUUACACACAAAUCAGGACAUCCCCUACACACUCCACCCCCUGUGAACAAACUCAUUGGUGGAACAUGAAGGUGGACCCUGGGACCCAGACCUUGAGCUGUGUAAAGUGCCCCCAAAAAAUGGAGCUGCUUCUCGUUCUCCCAGAACAUAGAUUUUUGUGACCACAGUUACAAACAGCCUCCAGAGAUCCUGUUCUACACCAGACCAGUGGAGCCAGACUGCAGCUAGAGCCCAUCAUCAUCCUCAUCUGCUUGUACGUAGGUAAUCUAGUAUAUUAUUCGUGGCACUAAUCUCUAAUUUACCUCACAUUAAAGAAACACUAUAGUCCCCAGAACCACUGCAGCUUAAUGUAGUGGUCCUGGUGUCUAUAGCCUGUCCCUGCAGGCCUUUUAAUGUAAACAGAGCGGCACUGCAGCACUAGCGUUAGUUAACAUGGCAGGUCAUAUGGGUGGGGCAUUGUGAUGUCACGGGGGGGGCGGCAAACUUUACUUUUGCCUAGGGCGGCAAAAAUCCUUGCACCGGCCCUGAUUACAAACUUGUAAGUGCAAUUUAUUACAGUGCAGAAUAUAAGUAUAUACCAUCUACACUUAUUUUGGUUUAUCUUAUUUUUCUCCUACAUGCCCACGCUCUCAUGUUGAGGACCUCAUAUCAUCUUCUUACUAUUGAGAUAUGUCUACUAUCAAUAUACGUUUGUGAGUGCAACCUAUAAAAUUGGUGUAUUUCUGUAUAAUUAUUGUACUACUCUAUGAGUUUUUUCAAAAUGUACCUCAAUUUAUGUUGCAUGCCCUGCCUCCUGAAUAUAGCUCUGCCCUGCACACAAGCCCCAUCCCCACACAUGUUGUUGACCUCACUGGAAGGAAGAGGCCACAAAAUGGCAACUUCACCUACCAGUGCCAGGUGAGCUUCAGCCAUGACAGUGAUUGUGUGUGUGUGUGCCUGCUAGUGGGUGAGCUUGUGUGUGUGUGUGUGUGUGUGCGUGCCUGCUAGUGAGUAAGCUUGUGUAUGUGAAUGCCAGUGAGUGAACUUGUGUGUGUGCCUGCAAGGGAGUGAGUUUGUGUAUGUGUGUGUGUGUGUGCACCUGCUAGUGAGUGAGCUUGUGUGUGUGUGUGCUCCUGCUAGUGAGUGAGCUUGUGUGUGUGUGUGUGUCAGCUAGUGAGUGAGCUUGUGUGUGUGUGCGCGCCUGUUAGUGAGUGAGCUUGUGUGUGUGUGUGUGUGUGUGCCUGCUAGUGAGUGAGCUUGUGUGUGGCUGUUAGUGAGUGAGCUUGUAUGUGUGUGUCAGUGAGCUUGUCUGUAGUGAGCGUGUGUGUGUGUCAGUGAGCUUUUCUGUUGGAAGCAUGUGUGUGUAUCAGGGAGCUUGUCUGUUGAAAGCAUGUGUGUGUGUCAGUGAGCUUUUUUUGUAGGGAGCAUGUGUGUGUCAGUAAACAUGUCUGUGAUGAGCAUGUGUGUGUCAGUGAGCUUGUCUGUGGUGAGCAUGUGUGUGUCAGUGAGCUUGUCUGUGGUGAGCAUGUGUGUGUCCGUGAGCUUUUAUGUAGGGAGCCCUGCCAUUCACUACAUUAGCUCCCAUAACUAUUUACUACUAUUCUACACUACUUAUUUACCAUUAAGGACAUUUUGAAAAAUUAAUGACAUCAUUUAGGCGCCAAAUUUAAAAUGGGCAAUGCCUGCAUUCCCUUUAAAAACCUGUACCUGCCAGGUUAGACUCUUCUAUCUCCACUUGAAAAAAAAAAGUGAAAUGCGUUGUGGAUAUUUUAUAUUGUUUAUUUUAUAUUGUAUAUCAAUAAAGGUAUUUUGGCUACUUCUUAUUGUGAGUCUGCCAUUUUACAUUUUUAUUUAUUACUAUUUUAUAUUUUUUACAUUCUACCUGGCAUCCGAUUUUACUGUUUCAGUGAGGACUAUGCUCAAAGAAUACAAGGUGGGGAAUUAUACCACUUAUGCCUAUACAUUGAGCAGUCUGCCUGCUCAAUCAAAUGUAAGUAACCAUUCAUUAUUUUAUACUCCUGGUACCUUUUAUACUGUGAGCACUAUUGUCAUCUCUUUUAUACUUUUAUAUGUACCACUGUAUGCUAUUCAUACUAGAGCUGGGUUUAAGCUCUAUCAAAUGUGAGAAGGACUCACUUCUGGGAUAUCUGUACCAUUUCUUUUCUCUCUGUUUUUAUAUAUACGGCUCCAAAUGAUACCCUGAUCUGGCUCUUUCAUAGAAGAAUUUCCCUGACAGAACUGAGGCUAUAUCUUCUGGCAAGUUUUAUAUUGGGACUUUAUAGUGGACAUUUUAUUUUUAUUCUUUUUUGGUUUCUUAUUCUUUUGCAAUAUUUUUACUUAUACUAGUGUUUUUUACUAUUUUGGAACUACCUCCAUUCCCCUUGUUUGUACUAGUUUGAGAACUGAUUUAACUACACACAAAUUCCGCUCUGCAAUCAAAGCUGAAAUUUCUGUAUUUUAUCUUCAAAUUCAGGAAACAUGUAGCAACAUAUAGAGUUAGACAAGUUUUUAAAUAUGGUAAAUGAUAGUGAUGCUGUCAAAACUAAAAUUCAACUUAACUUAAAUUUAGCUAAUUUCCUUAAGCAUAUUUUGUUUUGCAUCUCAAACGUUGUUUUUAAAUUUACCUCAAUCGCAUUUAGUAAAGAAACCCCUUAUGCUAUAUAUUUUAUUGAAAAUGUAUGAGAAAGUACCAAUUUCGAUGUCAUUGUUCACCCAUGAAAGACAAGUUUAAAUCACUGUAGAGUUUAAAGGCAAAAUAAAGAUUAAAAAAUCACUGUUUAGCAAAUAUACCUCAGAUGAAAUCAUCUAUGCAUUUAAUUAUGCAUUUUUCAUUGGGGUAUAUAUAAAAACAGCUUGCAAACAUUUUCUCAUCUGAAUACUUUGCAACUCCUCCUCUUCUAACCCCACCCAGACUUUCUGUGGCUGUCCAAUCACAGACUUCCCAAUGCAGCUCAAUGAGAAGUUUUUGCAAGGCAGGUGCUCUAGGUAAUUGCUGCCUCUUGAAUUUAGCUCCACUGAGCUAACCAAACCAGGAAGUAACAGGUUAUACGACUGACAGCCAGGGGGCUGGUAACAAUGUUAAUUUAUAAAUAUAUAUCUUGUAAUUUACACUUUUAGUAAAAUGAAGAAGAAAAAAGAAAAAAAAGAGGACACUUCACACAUAAGGCACUUCAGUAAGCUAAAGUAUUUUAGGGUUCUGGAGUGUCCCUUCAAUUGCAAACUACAUACAUUCUGUGCUGUGCAAUAUAGAUUAAUUCCAUAUUAGAAAACAGGAGGAAGAUCUGCUCACAAUACAUCACUCUGCAGCUAAGUAGUAGGCAGGAUUAAAACAUGAUGCCAUAGUUUUUAUAAUCAUUAGAUGAGCUAUUCCAUGACGCCUGGAUACAGCAAUUGCUGCAGUGGCAUUAUGUCAUUUAGCGUGACGUCCUUAGGAGCCAGUGAUAGCUAAAAUUUCUCAUCUUAUAAUCAAAGCGAGAAAUAAAGAAAUCGCAAUGCAACUCCUUCCCCCCAAAAAACACAGUUCAGUUAUCCUCCUCUACCCGUCGUCACCCAGACUUUCUCUGCAAUCAUCUUGCCAGCAAUAACCCUUCUUUGUGUCAGAGAAGCAAUAAAGCUUCUUUGUGUCAGCUGAUAAAUUACAAUCCAUUCACAAAAAUGGUAAUUUGUAUUUACAGCUAAUAUAUCUUCAGCAUGAUUGUCAUUUGCUACAAGCCACAUUAUAAAGAUACAUUGCUCACGCACAGUUGUGUAGGUGUGUCUGUUUUGUAAAAGGAUGCAAUUAUACAUUAAAAGAUACUGGCAUUUGUCCAUCAUACUCAUUAAAGGGAUACUAUAAGUACCAGGAAUACAAAGCUGCAUUUCUGGCACUAUAUCUUCCUCUGCCUCCCCCUCCCUUGCACCCCCCACCGCAGUAAAUAAAGGGUUCAAAACUCUUUAUUUACUUACCUGAUCCCAGCACCAACAUCCCUCAGCGCUGGAUCAGAGCUCUGCCUCCUCCUCCGUCCCCCGACGAGUAGACGCUAAUGUGCAUGCGCAGGAUUAAAUCAAUGCUUUCCUUUGUGGAAAAAUCUGACACUGUAUAUCCUCAUGCAGAGCGUGAGGAUGUCCAGCUCUGAUACGGGACCAAAGGUCAGUUUGGAUGCAGGAAACACAGUGUGAAGCACCUACAUUCAAUGUAUGGAGAUGCUAAAUAAUCCCCAUACAUGCAAUGUAUCUCUACAAAUAUAUGCUGAUUGGUGCAGCACAAUGUUUUGCUGCACAUGAGCAAAAGCCUCAGCAUUGGAUUGGCUGUGAUCAUUAAGAUUGAUUAUCUCAGCCAUAGAGGCGGGGCCAGCCGCGGUAAGAGAGAAAUGGUAGCUUAAUACCUUUUUAACUCCACAGAGAGGGGAUCGGGGACCUAAAUAUGUAUCCCAGCACUAUAGUGCUAGGAAUACAUGUGGGUUUUCCUAACCCUAUAGUGUUCCUUUAACAAUUCAAUAAGAGUAUUUAGAAUGAUUAAUUAGAGUUGAUCACAGAGGCGUAGCUAGGUCAUUUGACACCCAGAGCAGAAAUCUAUGCUGGCAUAUACAGUGACAUGCAUGCAUUCAUAGAUAUGCAAUCAUACAUGCAUUCACACAAUCACCACAUAACAUAUUACACGAUUAUACACAAUCACUUACACAUUCAUAUACCAAGACACACAGUCGCACACUGUCAUGUGCACACGCACAUAGUCAAACAAAUAUACACAGUCACAGGCACACAGUCAUAUACACACAUACAGGGUCGCACAGCUUCAUAUAGACAGUCACACGCAUACAUUACAUACCAUACAAUUACACAUGCAGACACAUGCACACAGUCGAACACACCACACACAGUCAAUGGCACACAGUAAUUCUUAUAGUUACAGACACGCACACAAUCACAGGCACAAAUAUAGUCAGAGUCACUCUUACAUAGACACACACAGUCACAGGCAUUCUGUGACGGUUCCGGAACCAAACACACGGACAGAUCACGAGAGGAACAAUUGCAAUACUGGUACUUAGAGUGGCAGGGCUAUGCAAAAGGAGAAAGGUCAGUGUACAAGCCAAAGUCAAAGGAUUAUAGAUAUAUGGAGACAAGUCGAGGCCAAGGAUCAGAGAAGACAGAGUAAACAAGAGACAAAGCCGCAAGUGACGAGCAGGCACUAGAAGAUGCCGCUCGCUGUGUGCGUGUAAGGGAAGCUGUCGCAAGCGACAUACGUGUAAGUGAAACUGCCGCGAGCGGCAUGGUUGCAGGGGGCCUGACACAUACACACAGUCACAGACACAAAGUUACAGUCACAGACACACACACAGUAACCAAUUAUGCCUCAUUGGUCCAGGGGAAGAAUAAAGAUCAAAGCACCUACCCUGCUGUCUAGUGGUUGGGGAAGAGACUGUUUCCUGCUUCCCCCCAGUAUGCAGCCAUUUUAAGUAUGCCAUAAAGACAUGGCUGGGGCAAGUCUCUGUGGUGCUUGCUGCUUCAGUGGGGCUAGUCCCUCUUCAUCCGGCGCCCAGGCAAAACUUGAACUAAAGACAGGUAAAAAGACAGGUAACGGCAAGUUAUCUUUAUAGUGACCCAAGCUAAGGUACUUGCAUGUAAGACUUUAAAACUACAUUGUUUGAGAAUGUUAAAAAAAUGGAGCAAGCAAAAUCAUCUCAGCAAGACACACUAGCCAUUUGUCAGAUGAAGAAACUGACAAUUAACCCAACACCAAACUUAACCCUUAAAGUAGAUGAGAAAAUAUGGAUACAUGUGGAAAACAAACACAUACGUGAAAAAUGGAAGAAACAAGCUUAUAAAAUAAGCAUUAUAACAUACGUGUACUGCUUAAAACACCGAAAAGAAAGAGAAAAAAUUGUCUUUGAAAAAAACAUCAGCAUCCAUUAAAGUGCUCGAACAGCAAAUAUUCCUAAAAAUCGCUGCUUCUGCUGUAUUGUUUAUGUUUAGUGAUGUCCCGAACGGUUCGUGAAUAGUGAUGUACCGAACGGUUCGCUGGCGAACGGUUCCCGGCAAACAUAGCAUGUUCGCGUUCGCCAUGGCGGGCGAACAUAUGCGCGGUUCGACCCGCCCCCUAUUCGUCAUCAUUGAGUAAACUUUGACCCUGUACCUCACAGUCAGCAGACACAUUCCAGCCAAUUAGCAGCACACCCUCCCUAGCAGACCCUCCCACCUCCUGGAAGGCAUCCAUUUUAGAUUCAUUCUCAAGCUGCAUGCUUUAGUAAGAGGAGGGAAAGUGUAGCUGCUGUUCAUUAGAUAGGGAAAAGCAUAGCUAGGUUAGGGUUAGGGUAUGCUUUUUUUUGAUUUUUUUUUCUAUGUAAUGUAAUUGCACUUAGUUGUCUGCCACUGCUGCCAGCUUCUGUGUCAGGCUCACAGUGCAUACUGUGCCCAUUUCCCCAGUCAGUGCCACCACUUACAUCUGGUGUCACAAUAGCUUGGAUUUAAAAACAAAAAACUUUUUUCACUGUUAUAGAUGGAAUAGCAGUCAGUUGCAGUCAGUUGUCUGCCACUGCUGCCAGCUUCUGUGUCAGGCUCACAGUGCAUACCGUGCCCAUUUCCCCAGUCAGUGCCACCACUUACAUCUGGUGUCACAAUAGCUGUGAUUUAAAAACAAAAAACUUUUUUCACUGUUAUAGAUUGAAUAGCAGUCAGUUGUCUGCCACUGCUGCCAGCUUCUGUGUCAGGCUCACAGUGGAUACUGUGCCAAUUUCCCCAGUCAGUGCCACCACUUAUAUCUGGUGUCACAAUAGCUUUGAUUUAAAACAAAAAAUUUUUUUCACUGUUACAGAUUGAAUAGCAGUCAGUUGUCUGCAACUGCUGCCAGCUUCUGUGUCAGGCUCACAGUGNNNNNNNNNNNNNNNNNNNNNNNNNNNNNNNNNNNNNNNNNNNNNNNNNNNNNNNNNNNNNNNNNNNNNNNNNNNNNNNNNNNNNNNNNNNNNNNNNNNNUUAUAAUGGCUAUCAAUGUGUGUGUGCUUUAUACUGUCUGUAUUAUAUAUAUUAUGGCUAUCAAUGUGUGUGUGCUUUAUACUGUCUAUAUUAUAUAUAUUAUAAUGGCUAUCAAUGUGUGUGUGCUUUAUACUGUCUGUAUUAUAUAUAUUAUGGCUAUCAAUGUGUGUGUGCUUUAUACUGUCUAUUAUAUAUAUUAUAAUGGCUAUCAAUGUGUGUGUGCUUUAUACUGUCUAUUAUAUAUAUAUUAUAAUGGCUAUCAAUGUGUGUGUGCUUUAUACUGUCUAUUAUAUAUAUAUUAUAAUGGCUAUCAAUGUGUGUGUGCUUUAUACUGUCUAUAUUAUAUAUAUUAUAAUGGCUAUCAAUGUGUGUGUGCUUUAUACUGUCUAUAUUAUAUAUAUUAUAAUGGCUAUCAAUGUGUGUGUGCUUUAUACUGUCUAUUAUAUAUAUAUAUAUAUUAUAAUGGCUAUCAAUGUGUGUGUGCUUUAUACUGUCUAUAUUAUAUAUAUUAUAAUGGCUAUCAAUGUGUGUGUGCUUUAUACUGUCUGUAUUAUAUAUAUUAUGGCUAUCAAUGUGUGUGUGCUUACAUUGUCUAUAUUAUAUAUAUUAUAAUGGCUAUCAAUGUGUGUGUGUGUGCUUUAUACUGUCUGUAUUAUAUAUAAUAUAAUGGCUAUCAAUGUGUGUGUGUGCUUUAUACCGUCUGUAUUAUAUAUAUUAUGUAUUAAUAAAUGUGUGUGUGCUUUUAUAUUGUCUAUAUUAUAUAUAUUAUAAUGUAUAUCAAUGUGUGUGUGCUUUAUACCGUCUGUAUUAUAUAUAUAUUAUGGCUACCAAUGUGUGUGUGCUUUAUACUGUCUAUUAUUAUAUAUAUAUUAUAAUGUAUAUCAAUGUGUGUGCUUUUAUACCGUCUAUGUUUAUAUAUAUUAUAAAUGGCUAUCAAUGUGUGUUUUAUACCUCACCAUUAUAUAUAUAUUAUAAUGGCUUAUCAAUGUGUGUGUGUUUUAUACUGUCUAUUAUAUAUAUAUAUAUAUUAUAAUGCUAUCAAUGUGUGUGUGCUUUAUAUUGUCUAUAUUAUAUAUAUUAUAAUGGCUAUCAAUGUGUGUGUGUGCUUUAUACUGUCUGUAUUAUAUAUAUUAUGGCUAUCAAUGUGUGUGUGCUUUAUACUGUCUGUAUUAUAUAUAUUAUGGCUAUCAAUGUGUGUGUGCUUUAUAUUGUCUAUAUUAUAUAUAUUAUAAUGGCUAUCAAUGUGUGUGUGCUUUAUACUGUCUGUAUUAUAUAUAUUAUGGCUAUCAAUGUGUGUGUGCUUUAUACUGUCUAUUAUAUAUAUAUUAUAAUGGCUAUCAAUGUGUGUGUGCUUUAUACUGUCUAUAUUAUAUAUAUUAUAAUGGCUAUCAAUGUGUGUGUGCUUUAUACUGUCUAUUAUAUAUAUAUUAUAAUGGCUAUCAAUGUGUGUGUGCUUUAUACUGUCUAUUAUAUAUAUAUAUAUUAUAAUGGCUAUCAAUGUGUGUGUGCUUUAUACUGUCUAUAUUAUAUAUAUUAUAAUGGCUAUCAAUGUGUGUGUGCUUUAUACUGUCUGUAUUAUAUAUAUUAUGGCUAUCAAUGUGUGUGUGCUUUAUACUGUCUAUUAUAUAUAUUAUAAUGGCUAUCAAUGUGUGUGUGCUUUAUACUGUCUAUUAUAUAUAUAUUAUAAUGGCUAUCAAUGUGUGUGUGCUUUAUACUGUCUAUUAUAUAUAUAUUAUAAUGGCUAUCAAUGUGUGUGUGCUUUAUACUGUCUAUAUUAUAUAUAUUAUAAUGGCUAUCAAUGUGUGUGUGCUUUAUACUGUCUAUAUUAUAUAUAUUAUAAUGGCUAUCAAUGUGUGUGUGCUUUAUACUGUCUAUAUUAUAUAUAUUAUAAUGGCUAUCAAUGUGUGUGUGCUUUAUACUGUCUAUUAUAUAUAUAUUAUAAUGGCUAUCAAUGUGUGUGUGCUUUAUACUGUCUAUUAUAUAUAUAUUAUAAUGGCUAUCAAUGUGUGUGUGCUUUAUACUGUCUAUAUUAUAUAUAUUAUAAUGGCUAUCAAUGUGUGUGUGCUUUAUACUGUCUAUAUUAUAUAUAUUAUAAUGGCUAUCAAUGUGUGUGUGCUUUAUACUGUCUAUUAUAUAUAUAUUAUAAUGGCUAUCAAUGUGUGUGUGCUUUAUACUGUCUAUAUUAUAUAUAUUAUAAUGGCUAUCAAUGUGUGUGUGCUUUAUACUGUCUAUAUUAUAUAUAUUAUAAUGGCUAUCAAUGUGUGUGUGCUUUAUACUGUCUAUAUUAUAUAUAUUAUAAUGGCUAUCAAUGUGUGUGUGCUUUAUACUGUCUAUAUUAUAUAUAUUAUAAUGGCUAUCAAUGUGUGUGUGCUUUAUACUGUCUAUUAUAUAUAUAUUAUAAUGGCUAUCAAUGUGUGUGUGCUUUAUACUGUCUAUUUAUAUAUAUUAUAAUGGCUAUCAAUGUGUGUGUGCUUUAUACUGUCUAUAUUAUAUAUAUUAUAAUGGCUAUCAAUGUGUGUGUGCUUUAUACUGUCUAUAUUAUAUAUAUUAUAAUGGCUAUCAAUGUGUGUGUGCUUUAUACUGUCUAUAUUAUAUAUAUUAUAAUGGCUAUCAAUGUGUGUGUGCUUUAUACUGUCUAUAUUAUAUAUAUUAUAAUGGCUAUCAAUGUGUGUGUGCUUUAUACUGUCUAUAUUAUAUAUAUUAUAAUGGCUAUCAAUGUGUGUGUGCUUUAUACUGUCUAUAUUAUAUAUAUUAUAAUGGCUAUCAAUGUGUGUGUGCUUUAUAUUGUCUAUUUUAUAUAUAUUAUCAUGGCUAUCAAUGUGUGUGUGCUUUAUACUGUCUAUAUUAUAUAUAUUAUAAUGGCUAUCAAUGUGUGUGUGCUUUAUAUUGUCUAUUAUAUAUAAUUAUAAUGGCUAUCAAUGUGUGUGUGUGCUUUAUAUUGUCUAUUUUAUAUAUAUUAUAUUAUCAUGGCUAUCAAUGUGUGUGUGCUUUAUAUUGUUUAUAUUAUAUAUAUUAUAAUGGCUAUCAAUGUGUGUGUGCUUUAUAUUUAUAUUAUAUAUAUAUUAUAAUGGCUAUCAAUGUGUGUGUGUGUGCUUUAUAUUGUCUAUAAUAUAUAUAGUUAUAAUGGCUAUCAAUACCAAUGCUUUAUAUUGCAUUAUGGACACAUUGAAUAUUGCCAUGUAAGCAGUGUUAUGCAGGUCAGAAUUGUGUAUAUAAUUAAUGUCUAUAGAGUGUGUGUGUGUGUGUGUGUGUGUGUGUAUAUAUAUAUAUAUAUAUUUGUGCUAACAGAUUUACUAGUAAAUGUACAGUUUUGUUUUGUUUGUUNNNNNNNNNNNNNNNNNNNNNNNNNNNNNNNNNNNNNNNNNNNNNNNNNNNNNNNNNNNNNNNNNNNNNNNNNNNNNNNNNNNNNNNNNNNNNNNNNNNNGGAUGCAGCAUUUGCAAAAUAAAUUGAAAAGUACGCUUUACACAGCGUAUAAGGGUGAUGUCACAGCACAACGGGAAUCUAACAGGGGGAGAGGUGGAAGUCAUCCUCCUCCUCCCAUGACCACGCCGGCAAGGACAGGACGCUUUAGAGACGUGUUGUUGAUGGAGGACAUGCAGACCUUUUUAAGUCCUACGCAUCGCCACAGCCCUUCGGGAUCCACCCUCAGAGAGUGACUCGACCGACAGGUAGCAGACUACCUCGCCUUAACUGCAGAUAUCGACACUCUGAGGAGCCAUGAACCCCUUGACUACUGGGUGUGCAGGCUUGACCUGUGGCCUGAGCUAUCCCAAUUUGCGAUAGAACUUCUGGCCUGCCCCGCUUCAAGUGUCCUGUCAGAAAGGACCUUCAGUGCAGCAGGAGGUAUUGUCACUGAGAAGAGAAGUCGCCUAGGUCAAAAAAGUCUAGAUUACCUCACCUUUAUUAAGAUGAAUGAGGGAUGGAUCCCUAAGGGACUGACACUGGGCGAUACAUUAGAUUAAAAAAGGCCUGAUGAGAUGAGCUGCCUUGGGCUAAAAAUGGUCCACACGCUGCUGUAUUUUAGCUCUGAAUGCCGGUUGACUUGCGUGACUUAUCCGCCACCAACUAGGGUUCAAGCCGCCAUGUUUUAGGGCACUUUCUGCCCUAAAUUAUAGAUUGAAUAGCAGUUAGUUGUCUCAAAGCGGGUGUGUCAGGCUCACAGUGGAUACUGUGCCCAGUGCCACCACUCACUCACUGGUGUCACAAUAGCUUGGAUUAAAAAAAAAAAAACUUUUUUCACUGUUAUAGAUUGAAUAGCAGUCAGUGUCCUUAAAGCGGGUGUGUUACGCUAACAGUGGAUACGGUGACCAGUGCCACCACUAACUAUACCAGUUAGUUAUCUUCAAGCAGGUGUGUCAGCCCUACAGCGUGUACUCUGCCAGUACGCUGCCACCUCCUCUACUCCUCCUACUCCAUCCUCUUCCAUAACCUCCUCGGCUGAGUUCUCUUCUGCUGCUGCGUCUUGCUCCACAUCAACGGAUAUUAGGGACGCACAGUGAUUAAACUGAUAACAAUAGUACUAAACACAAUCUUUUCACCUUCUAUCUGGUGGCACAUUAGAUUGCACGCAGUGCCCCAAAUUUGUUGUGAUCUGUGAGUAAGGUAAACGGUUGUCCAUACAAGUAGGUUGCAGCUUUUGAGGGCCCACACCACCGCCAUGCACCUUUCAAUGGCAGUGAAUCUACUUCGCUAUGCAAAAGUUUACGGCUUAGGAUAAAAUCAAUGCCGCGGUACACGCCCACCGAUAGGAGAUUAUAUUUAAACUGAUAAAAAAUAGUACUAAACACACCACUCCUAUCUGGUGGCACAUUAGAUUGCACGCGCAGUGCCCCAAAUUUGUUGUGAUCUGUGAGUAAGGUAAACGGUUGUCCAAAGGCAGCUUUUUGAGGGCCCACACCACCGCCAUGCACUCCUUUUCAAUGGCAGUGAAUCUACUUUGCUAUGCAAAAGUUUACGGCUUAGAUAAAAAUCAAUGCCGUGUACACGUCCACUGAUAGGAGACGCGGAAGGUAUUAAACUGAUAAAAAUAGUACUAAACACACCACUCCUAUCUGGUGUUACAUUAGCUUGACCGCGCAGUGCCCCAAAUUUGCAGUAAGAGGACCGACCAAGCCUCUUCUUCCAUCUCCCUGUUACAAAAAUCAAUGCCGUGUACACGUCCACUGAUAGGAGACGCGGAAGGUAUUAAACUGAACAGUCUCUAUUCUGCUCUUGCAUUUCUAUUUCUUCAUAGAAAACGAAAAAUUCUGAGAAGACGUUGGCAGGGCUAUCACCUGUGUGAUCUGUCAUGAAUUGUCAUUUGAAUGUUAUUUUGAACUGUGGGGCACAAGAACUUGAAUCUGACAAAAUGGCUGCCAUAUACACGUCCACUGAUAGGAGACGCGGAAGGUAUUAAACUGAUCAGAACAAUACUAAACACACCACUCCUUUUUUUUGGUGAGGCUUUACAGGACAGAGUGCUUCUCCACGGGACAUGUUAACUCACGGGCAGCUGGCUCAUCAAGGAACCAGAGCAGCAGCUUUCCAUGUACAGGUAAGACACGUGCAGCCGGUAAGGGUUCAGGCUCUUCUUCCUGGAGGAUACGCUGCAAGCCUGUUGAACGAGGUGACCUUGCUCGGGUCCCAGGUGUACGGUUCCUAAAAUGGCUGCCAUAUACACGUCCACUGAUAGGAGACGCGGAAGGUAUUAAACUGAUCAGAACAAUACUAAACACACCACAAAUAAGGUUUCUCUCCUGUAUGGCUCCUCAAAUGAUGCUUAAGAUUAGAAGCGGCUGAAAAGCAUUUCUCACACUCCGAACAAAAAUAUAUUUUUUUAACAUUCUCUCCACUUUGAACGAAAUGACGUUUGGGAAGAGAUUAACAUAAUUAAACACAGGCAGUAAAAAUACAGUUUUUAGCCAUACCCUGUAACUUUAAAACUACACAUCCCAUCUUCAUAAUUACAUAUUUGGAAUCAGCACACUUAAAACAUAAACAUAACCAAAAAUCAGCCAAAUCCAUCCAGGGGUUAAAAAGUUAGCUGGAGGUCCCUUUAUGACCGACCGCAAGCACAUUUUCCUGCCCAAAACAGUUCCAUAGAUUUGGGCUGUGAGGUCGGUCUAUUUCAGGCUGAAAAAAGACUAAGUCUCAUCGAAUGGGACUUAGUCUCUGCAGCUGAAAUAAGGCUGAAAAAACGGCUGAAAAGACUAAGUCCCAUCGCCGAAUGGGACUUAGUCUCUGCAGUAAAACCAGUAGGGGAGAAGGUAGAGCGUCUUCGCGAAAUGUGUAGCCGAUUUUAGUUCCAUGAAUUUGGCUACACAUACCGCUGACCUCGUCGAAUGAUCAAAGAUGGCCGCCGCCACAUGUUCGGCAAACGAACAAAGACCUCCCAGCAUUGUCAAUUAAGCUGCGGUUAACCACAGCUUCUGGGAGGUAAAUUGCCUGCACACUUCCACUUCUGGGUGGUCUGAAUGUGUGGUACUUGGUUCAGUAAGCCCCAUUUACUGAACCAAGUGGGAAUUAGCCAGGCAGACACAAAGGGUUUGCAGCAGGUCUGGGGACACAGGGGACACCGUCUUAAAGGGGCAGUGUCCCCAACAAGUCUGGGGACACAGCCUUAAAGGGGCAGUGUCCCAAUCUUCCUGAUGUCCCAAAAAAGGUGUUUAAAGGGCCAGCACCAGUCACAUAUAGAGUCCAUAAGCCCCAAUAUGCCCACUGACAGUCUUAAAGGGCCAUACACACCAAAUAAAAGUGCAUACAUUUUCACAAUCUCCCAGGGGCCAUAGUCAUGCGGGAGGAGGCUGGCAAAUAGGCUUCUCCACAACCCAGGGAAGCAGGGCAAUUUGCCAUUUAAAGGGCCGUUACAAAUAGCAGUUUGUAACAAGGUGUCAAUCCAUAUCUGCCAAGUGACCCGAUGUAGGGGGAACAGUCCCUAUUCUGCUCUGUGUCAGUGUGUAUCAUGGUCUCUGAGGACAGGUGUCAAUCCAUAUCUGCCAAGUGACCCUAUGUAGGGGGAACAGUCUCUAUUCUGCUCUGUGUCAGUGUGUAUCUUGGUCUCUGAGGACAGGUGUCAAUCCAUAUCUGCCAAGUGACCCUAUGUAGGAGGAACAGUCCCUAUUCUGCUCUGUGUCAGUGUGUAUCAGGGAUCCCUAGGACAGGUGUCAAUCCAUAUCUGCCAAGUGACCCGAUGUAGGGGGAGCAGUCCCUAUUCUGCUCUGUGUCAGUGUGUAUCAGGGAUCCUUAGGACAGGUGUCAAUCCAUAUCUGCCAAGUGACCCUAUGUAGGGGGACCAGUCUCUAUUCUGCUCUGUGUCCGUGUGCAUCAGGGCUCUGAGGACAGGUGUCAAUCCAUAUGUCAAGGUGUCAAUAUGUCAUAUGUCAGGUGUCAAUCCAUAUUCAUUGUGAUUUAGGAAUGUUAGGUGAUUUCUGCCCUUUAUGGAUUAAAACCAGACUCUGUAUCAACUAUGUAAUUUUCCAUGGGAGUUUUGCCAUGGAUCCCCCUCUGGCAUGCCACAGUCCAGGUGUUAGUCCCCUUGAAACAACUUUUCCAUCACUAUUGUGGCCAGAAAGAGUCCCUGUGUGUUUUAAAAUUCGCCUGCCCAUUGAAGUCAAUGGCGGUUUGGGCGGUUCGCCGGUUUGCGAACAUUUGCGGAAGUUCGCGUUCGCCGUUCGCGAACCGAAAAUUUCGGGUUCGCGACAUCACUAUUCGUGAAUGGUUCGCCACGAACGGUUCACCACGGACUCAUCAUUGAGUAAACUUUGACCCUGUACCUCACAGUCAUCAGACACAUUCCAGCCAAUAAGCAGCAGACCCUCCCUCCCAGAUCCUCCCACCUCCUGGACAGCUCACUAAGAAUGAAGCUUCAAAAUGAAUGCUGUCCAGGAGGUGGGAGGGUCUGCUGCUUAUUGGCUGGAAUGUGUCAAUGAUGAGUCCGUGGCAAACCGUUCGCGAACCGUUCGGCAAACCGUUCGGGACAUCACUAUUUAUGUUCUAUAUUAAUGUGACAUUGCAGUUAAGAUGUUCUCCGGGACAAACUUGAAAACCAGAAGAAAUAAUGUUUUUCUCUGGUGUAACACUUUAUGAAUAACAGCAUAAAUAUAAAAUCAGAAAACAGCAAUUACCAAAAGAACAAUCCUAUUAAUAGUGCAUUUACCCAGAAUAAAGUUAAUUAAUUCCACCAUUAUAUAAAUAAUAGUUUCUAUCUUUUUACCUUGGAGGAUGUGCUACAAUAUUGACAGUUCCUUGUGAUUGGUUCUACUGUUCUCCUCUAAUUAGCCCAUUAAAUCAGUGACUGACUUUUGUAACAUAUGGUUAUGUAAUAUAUUCAAAGGAAAGAGUAAAAAUUGAGGUUUGGUUUUUCUACGACUGCACACAUUUUUUUAUGCAGCUUCAAUUGAAUAGGUGUAUGAUUUAUAAUGCACAUUAAAUCCACAAGCUUUCUGUUAUGGCAUAGAAAGGUGAAGUGAGUUAAAUGUACUCAAUCAGAAAUGGCAAUAUAUGCACCAAUCUGUGUGCAGAGAGGUAUCGACAGCCGAAUCCAGCACAGAUCCCCACUCUAAUCACCCUUAGCUGUGCAGCAAAUAAAUCAUUAAGUUUUUAUUUAUAUCAAUGAGUCUUUAUUCUAGCCCCUAAGAGGUCACCUGGCAAAAUUGCAACUUGAGAAAUUCCUUGGGAGUUGAAACGCUGUCAGGUCACCCUGCACCCUCUGUGGCUAGAAUAAAGGCACACUAAUAGGAAUGGAGAUUCUGUGAUUUAAUAUUUGCUAAAGGGCAAUAUAUUUGCCUGUGUAGACAGAGAAAUUCUGGAUCAGUAUUAGAUUCUAAAUAAUCAACAAAAAACCAACAGGAUGUUGCUGUUCCGACACAAUGGAUUUAUGAAUAUAUCUGACUUUUUCAUGCAAAAAUGUGGCAAAAUUUUCUCGCCAUUUUAAAUUUGCCAGUCUUCUGAAAUAGACAUUUCUCCAAAAAAAUUAGAAUUUAUUAUGAAUUAAACUGUCACUUUUUAGAUUAAUUUAAUAAAUACAAUAAAAAAAAAUGGAAUUUUACAAACACUUUUCAGAACACUGUGAUAAAUAUCCCCCAAAGAGUUCUGUCUGGGGAAAAAAGCCAGCCAGCAAUGUUAGUCUCAUACUGAUCAAACAAUUACACAUAAAUGAGUUGGAGUGCCCACUCACUGAACUGGGAGGCAGCCUUGUACUGCAAAUGCCAAAAGUAAUGGGACAGGUGAACCUAAGGUUCCCCAAAACCUAAGUAUACCCAACUAUCAUUGGUAAUGAUCAAUACCCUGGCACAAACAGUACUAACCCAGGUACAGGUUCUGGACCACUGGCAUUUUAUGGCUAAGUCUGAAUAAAGAAUAAAAUAAGGCUUAAAAAGUGGUACCCAUUGAGGAAUCCUCGGGAUUACAUUAACCCCUUAAGGACACAACUUCUGGAAUAAAAGGGAAUCAUGACGGAAUAUUUCCGCCAUGUGUCCUUAAGGGGAUAAUAUCUGGAUUUAUUCUGUACCAAUACGGCAACAGCCCUUUCUGGUGCUAAAUCCCCAUGACAAUAAUAUUUCUACACAAGACACUAAGGACUAUUUAGAUAUACAAACCCUAAAUAAUUGUCAGUUCUAUGUUAGGUGUACAUGGUGUAGAUCUGUACGUGUGGUGGGUAAAUGUUGCACUGUUCAUACUGACGUACAUUUGAUAAGUAGUCAGUGAGAGUAUCUCAACACAAAUGGACUUGAGAUUUGUAAGAUUAAAGAGAGAUUAAAGUUUGGGGGUUUUUUUUAAAUAAAGUUACAUGAUCAAUUGCAUUCUCUUUUUAACAUAUAAGGAAAGUUAAUACUGCAAAUUGCAGAACGGAUAUUUAGUCAGCUAAAUGCCACAUAAUGCUAAAUAUUGAUGGAUAAACAAACAUAAAGGUUCAUGUAAGUCUGACGUGUUAAAACCAUGGCUCCCCUGCAAGUCUGUCUCUCUACCCAAAAUCUGGUUAUUGAUGUGGAUACUGGUAAUACCAGGGAUUUGCAGAAAUGUCAUUACUUAAUUAUAAUAAUAAUGAAGAUGUUUAUCAAAUGGUUUUAGGGAGAUAUCAACAAACUGAUAUAAAAUCUAAAUUCUAAGCAAAAACACACUGACAGAUGUUAAAUAUGCAUUAAAUAUUUUUCUUCCAGGAUCUGCUUGUCACAGCGUUAUUAAGGAUAGCAGUGCAUGCACAUACCAUGUCCCGG
rnacentral:lncRNA from 1 species